CGAAACUCGCCAAAAACAUGGUGUAAAAGCUAAAUAUAUUCAUACAUAUCUUAAAUUAAAUAACUGAAGAAUAAAAUUACUUUUACAGUGACACGUGGACCCCCAACUAACUAAGAAAAUAUAGGGUUAUGAAUCCUUACUUUCUAAGAUGCAACUCCGAGAUUAAUUCUCGUCUUAAUCAACUAUCAACAAAUUGUCUUGAGCCUGAAAAAUGUAUAGGAAGAAGGGUGAGAUUAUAAAAUCCCAGUGAGUAGACAGACAUCAUCAAAAUAAUUUAAAGCCGAGUAAUAUGAGACAAUUAAAAUAAUUCAUCCCAACCCAUAUAAAUAAUUGGAUUGCAUCCAAUUACUCAACAUGGCUUAUGAACUUUUCAAAAACUUGGCUUUUGCCAAAAAUCCAUUCUCGGGGAUACCCCGCGAAGGCAUCUUACCGAGACCGCCAAGGCUGUUUAUUGUCACACACACAAACACAUUUCACCUCUGACAACACAGCCGUUCCUUGGAGUUAGCUGAGUCCCAAUUUCACGUGGUGGCCAACGUGAAGUGUACUCAAAUCCUACCUCGAGAGUUAUCUUACGCGCCUCUCCAAUCGAGGUAAGCUCAAUAAUUGGGAACUGUGCCCCUCUAAUUAGGCUAACCCACAGAACCCCCGUCACUGCAGUGCCCACUUUAUAAUCCACCAACCAAUAAAAUCACAAUAGUAUGACAUGGCUCACUUAACACAUUCAAGGUAAAUCAAAGCAGUUCACAUAUUCUUAAAAUCAUAAAAAUAACCAAUCAUACCCACAUUUAUCAUAAGCCAUUUAAUGUAAAAUCAUAGAUAAACAACACAAUCAUAGUAUAGGUCUCCAAUUACUCUAUUUUUGAAAUCAUUAUUAAAUUUUCAAAAAUAUUAUAAAAUUAUUUUAUAAAAUCCCAUUUUACCAUAAAACACAAUAAUUUUCCAAUUAAACCAUUUUUUCAUAAAAUCACACAAUUAAAUAAAUCUACUCUAGAUAAUUAAGACGAUAGUAAGUUUACUCACUGUACUAGGAGUCGAUAUACUCCUAUUUUCAAUCCGCGGGUACAGUCCUUUACCCGUAUCUAAUGGCUCACCACCUAGCCAUAAUCCAUGGCACAUAUUUCAAUUAAAUUGUGUCUAACAGUCAUAAGCUAUUUCAGGCUCGAUAUAUAUGCAUGAUAUGAAAUGAAAAAUGCACAGGUAGCCAUCUAGACCCGGUAUUGACCUAAGUCGAUUUUUCAUCCAAUAAAUUGGCCAAUGCGUCCAAUUUCACUCCAACUUUCUCCAUUUCUUUUCCAAUCCCUCAAUUCACCAAGCACAACUAAUUAACACACAAUUAGGCAAAUUUAUCUUCACUUUUCUUCUUGGAACUUUCGGCCAUUGAAGGUUCAUGGGGAAAAUGGAUUCUUUUCUUGUUGUUUUGUUUCUAAACAUGUUUAACUAACUCUAAACACCAACAUAACUCAAAAUCAAACAAUUCCAACAUCUUUCUCUCUCCAUACCCAUUUUGACCAGCCAUAAUUUCAUCAUGAAAACAUGUAAUUUAACCAUGGAAAUUAAGGAAAAAUGCAUGGGUAAGGUAAAUCACUAGCAAAAUCAAAGAAAUUUUACCUUUGCUUGAUCAAAUCCUUGAAUUCCAACACUUUCUCUUUGAUUUUUCCCACCUAGGGUUUGUUCUUCCUUGGUUUCUCUUCUCUUCUGGUUUGGCUGAUCACUAUGGGAGAAAUGGGCUGAUUUUUUUGCCUUUUUAUAAAGAAAUAAUAAAAUAAUAAAAACAUGACACAUGGCAUUUCCUUAUUGGCUCAAAUUUUAAAUAUUUGACUUUUAAUUCUUUAAUUCUCCACCACACAUUUCUCAUGUUUAUCCAUUUCCAUGAUGAAUAAAAUCCCUUGGUCUUGACAAGUGUCGGGGGUGAAAAUUUACCGAUUUGCCCCCGGGGUGGCAAAAUUACCAUUUCACCCUUAUACUCCAAAUUAUACCGAAAUUAAAAUUUUUCACUUCUAAACUUCAAAUCAUACUCCAAUACUUAAAUCAUACUCCAAUAAGUCAAAUGGACCAAAAAAAAUCUUUUCUAAAAAUUUUCAUUUUGUCCCCAAGUGGCAAAUGACCAUUUUACCCCUAGAUAGUGAAAAUUCCAGUUUGACUCCAAAUUGAUCCUCGAACUCCGAAUUACCAUUUUGAGUCAUCCAUGAACUGUGAAACUCUUAAUUUCACCUUAAAAUUCCUAUUUGAACUAGUUCGAGGCUUAAUCGACUUAAUGAUACCAUUAGGGGCAAUAUCGUCUUUUAACGAUUUCUCGAACUUCCUAAAUAUACAAACAUUCUAUCGAGCAUGUGAAUGACAUUAUAAUUAUUUUACAAAGCAGGGUUUGACACCGACAGUGAGAGUAGUGACUGUUUAGGGAAAGAAGAAAGGGUGAAGAAAGGGGUUGAAGAACAAGCUCAGAGAAAAGGGGGAGGAAAACUGUAAUUAGAGAGAGAAAAUGGGAAGGUGAAGUGAACAGAGAAGAAAGAAAAAUAGUUUUUAUACUUAAGGUUAACACCUGAAAACGACACCAUUUUAAGAAGUAAAAAGGGAAGGAACAUCAGUCAAAUGACGUCGUUGAGGACAUUUGGGAAGUUAUAGCAUAAGCACUAAAAUGGUGCAAUUUGAGUAAAGCUCUGUGAGCCUUGGGAAGCAGAUCUGUUGAAGUGGGGUUGUGUCAUGACCCGAAACUCCCAUCGGCCCCGUGACAACCGUCGCGACGUCUCGAUAGGCACUCAUUACCCCGAAUACCGAUCGAAACCCCGCAAGGCUUAGCAUCAGCUUCCGCAUCUCCCCGGUGAGCGACAGUGAGCGACAGUUAUUAAAUCUCACAUUGCAAGAAAUCAUAAGUCGUUUCCAACUCAAAACAAUAAAAUAUUAUUUUUUAGCUCACAGGGGCAUUUUCAUCAUUUUUUUUUAAAAUUUCGAAAUCCGUAAAAAUGUAAUAUGUAAGUGGAAACGCAUAUUUCAUGAUUUAAAUUAAAUUUUGAAGUCUAAAACAUUCGUUUAAAGUAAAAUUAUAACUAUUUGAAUAUAAUAAAAAUAUUAAAUAAAAUAUUCUAUUUUCUUAAAACACAAUAUUUUCAAAGUCUUCCUAAAAUAACUUUUGUAGCGUAAGAGUAAAAUAAAUUUAUUCAUAUAGUAAUAAAGAUAAUUAAAGUAUGAAAUUUCGUUUACAGUGACACGUGGGCCCCCAAUUGAGCAAGAAGGUGUAGGGCUAUGAAUCCUUACUUUCUAGGAUGCACUCCGAGAUUAAUUCCCGUCUUAAUCAACUAUCAACAAACUGUCUUGAGCCUGAAAAAUGGAUAGGGAGAGGGGUGAGAUUAAAUAAUCCCAGUGAGUAAACAAUUACCAUCAAAAGCAUCUAAAGUCGAGUAAAUGGAGACAAUAUAAAAACGUUAUAUCUCAAUAAUGUUCAUAACACAAAAUUCGUUUCAAUCUAUACCAAACAAUUUCUUUUUAUCAAAAUUUUUCGGCUUAUGAAUUUCUUAAACUUGGCCCCUGCCAGAAUCAUUCUCGCGGGUACCUUUGUCAAGGUAUCCCACUGAGACUGUCAAGGCUGUUCAAUGACCCAUACCCAUAAACAUGUUUUCACAUUUGACACACAGCUGUUCCUUGGCGUUGGCUGAGUCUCACUCUCAUGUGAUGGCUCGAACGUGAGGUGCACUCAAAUCUUACCUCAGGAGAUACUUCAUCCAACAUCUCCCCUCGGAGGUAAUUAUAUAAUUGGGUUACCGUACCCCUCUCAUAGGCAGUCCACGAAAACCCCAACCACUGCAGUGACUGUUUAAUAUACCACCAGACCCAUAAAAAUUUCAGCAGCAUAAUAUGGCGAAUAAAAUGUAAUCCAGUCUACCGAGACCAAUCCAAAACUGUUCAUAUAUUUCAUGCCAACCCAAAAAAAUUUAGCCAUCAUGCUACCAUAGUGUCAUAAGCCACAAUUUCAAUAACAUAUAAAAUCAUAAAUUUCAACACAGUCUCCAUAUACUCAAAUUUCUCAAAACAAUAUUUGAUUUCAAAACCAGAAUAAAUCUCAUUUUUAUUAAAAAAUAUUUUAAUUAGAAAACAUAAUAUUUUAUAAUUUAAACUCACCAUUCAAUAAGAGCAUCAAACAAGUAUAAUUACUCUGGAUAUUUAAGAAGAUAAUUUGUCCACUCACAGUUCUAGGAGUCGAUGUACUCCUAAUCCCAGUCUUCAAGUACAAUCUCUGUACUUUUAUCAGUGUAAUUUGCUCACCACCUAUCCACAAUGUACAAUACAUAAUUCACCACAUCAAUGCUUGACCAUUAUAAAAUCAAUUCAGGCUCAGUCUAUAUGCAUGAUAUGAUAUACAACUUAUCCGACCAUCACUUAAAUGUGGUGCUGACCUAAUUCGGUCUAUUACCCGAUUAAAUCGAUAUACGUGCCUGUUUAAACUCCAAAUUAAUUUUUUUCAAUUUCUAUACCUCAAUUGCACCCAAAUUGACUUAAUGUCCCUCAGUGUGGUGCAAAUUAUCAGUUUCGAUAGCAAAUUACGAAAAUACCCCUAAUGGGUAAAAAUUCGUAUUUUUGCUCCGAAAAUUCCCAUUAUUUUUCUAGACUCAUAAUUCAUCAUUAAUCAUCAUAAUUCCUCAAAUAAACAUCAAGAUCAUCAGCCAAUAUUCCCCUAGAAAAUUUGGCCAAUAAUGGUAAUGAAGGAAAAUAAAUUCUUUUCUUGUUAUUUUGUUCCUAAAUAUGCUAAACUAACUAAAAACACUAACAUAACUUAAAAUCAAAUUAAUCUAACAACUUUCUCUCUCCUAACCCCUUUUGAUCAGCCAUCAAUUCAUCAUGAAAACAUGUAAUUUAGGCAUGAAAAAUUAGGAGAAAUGCUUAAGGAAGAUAGAUUUCAAGCUUAAGUUGAAAAAUCCUACCUUUUUCACUUGUUUUUCUUGAUUUUCCAUACUUUUUCUCUUGAAAUUCCUCACCUAGGGUUUGUUCUUCCUCUCUUUCUCUCUCUUCCUUGCUUGGCUGAAUAUUUGGAGAGUAAUGGGCUGAUUUAUGCUAUUUUUUUAGUUAAAUAAUAAAAUAUCCUAAGCUUGACACAUGGCAUUUUCUUAUUGGUUAAUUUUUAAAACUUUUAAAAUUUUAAACCUUUUAUCUCCACCACAUGAUUAGUCAAAGGUCAAAAAUGAGGAUAAAGGAAGACCUUGUGCUGGACAAAUGUCUUGGUGGUGGAAAAUUACAAUUUUACCCCUAGAGUGACAAAAUUAUCAUUUUACCCAUAUACUCCAAAUCAUAUCGAAAUUAAAAUUUUUCACUUCUAAACCUCAAAUCAUACUCCAAUAAGUCAAAUGGGACCUAAAAAAUCUUUUUUAAAAUUUUUCAUUUUGGCCCCAAGUGGCAAAUGACCAUUUUGCCUUUGGAUAGUGAAAAUUUCGGUUUGACUCCAAAUUGAUCAUCGAACUCCAAAUCACUAUUUUAAGUCAUCUCUGGACCAUGAAAUUCUUAAUUUCACCUUAAAAUUUCUAUAUGAACUAGUUCAAGGCUUAAUCGACUUAAUGAUACCAUUAGAGGCAGUAUCGUCUUUCAACGAUUUUCUCAAACUUCCUAAAUAUGUAACCAUUCUAUUGAGUAUAUAAAUGACGUCGUAAUUAUUUUAUAAAACAGGGUUUGACAGGUUGGUUGUCUUGGGCUGUCUCUUGCCCAAGGAAGGUAAACCUUUUUCUUUUUGUGGGUUUGGUAUGAUUUUGUUGUAUUGUGCUUGGCCCAAAUAUUUGGUUGGAAAAUAAAUUAGUUUUAGUAUGUGAUUAAUUAAAAUAAAAAAUAAAAAAUAUGCAGUAAAAUUAUCAAAUGUUAAGGUAAAAAUAUAAAGAGAAAAAAGUAAAAAAUUAUAAAUAGAGAGAUAGAUAAAUAUUUAAUAAUAAAGUGAUAGAUUUAGUUAUAUAGAAUAUAAGUGUAUAUAUAUAUAGGAAAAGAUGAAUGCCUAACCAAAAAAUAGUAAUAAAUAAUAGUAGAUCUAGGUUNUAUAUAUAUAUAUAUAUAUAUAUAUAUAUAUAUAUAUAUAUAUUUGAAAAGAUGAAUGCCUAAUGAAAAAAAUAGUAAUAAAUAAUAGUAGAUCUAGGUAAAAAAUACAAAUAUAUGUGAUAGAUAAAUAAAUAUUUAGCAGUAAAAAUAUAAAACUAAGUAAAUAAAAUAAUAUUUAGUUAUAAAAAAUUAAUCUAGCUGAAGGAAAGAAAAUAUAUGAAAAUGUAAAAGUAUAUGUAUAUUUUGUCAUAAGCAAAAUAGACUAAAUAAUGAGUGAAAAUAAUAUUAAUAUAGAUAAUUAUAUGAAAGUGACUUAAAUAAAAAAGGUAGAUAAAAUGUAAAAAGAUAAGUUAGGCAUGUAAAUAGAAAUGAGAUAUUUAACUAUAUAAAUUUAUAUUCAUAUAGGUAUAUAUAAAAAAAAUAAAAGAAUGGGACCUAGUAUGAAAUUAUUAAAUAUAAAAAUAUAACGAUUGUUUUAGGAUCAAUACCAAUGAUAGGAUGUCCAUUCAGAACGUGAGAAGUCAUAAUUCCCAAUGAAUUAUUAGGGACUUUGAUUAAGAUCCCACUAGUACCAUGUGAAGGUUUUAAUUUUGAGUCAUGAUGUUUCCAAUUCUAAAUAAAUAAAAAUUGUAUUAACCUAAUUACUAACCAAACAAAACAUAAAAACAAAGGAAACAAAAUAAUAAUAAUAAUAAUAAUAUACAAGAGGGAAUAGAUAAAAUAUGUAAUUUUAAAAUAUAAGAUUAUAUAAAAUAAGGAUUUUCAAGAUAAUAAAUAAAUAAAUAAUGAUAAUAAAAUUUUUAAAGAGAGUAAGAUGAUAACAAUAAUGAAUAUAGAGAAUAAUCAAUAGCGGACAUAAGAGUUGGUAUAGUACGUCUUGCAUUAUAAUCGCAUUUAAAUGUCAUGGCUUGUAGACAUUACGUGUGCGAGUCCAAAUCUCGAUGAUGGGACUUUUCAAGGGAGCUUGCAAAGGCGAGUUCUUUCAAAAAAUUUCCUAGGUGAAAGGAUACUUUCGAGUCUCACCAGUACGAUAGGAAGGCUCGGAGAAUAUCCUUAAUAAAAAGCUUCUGCUCGUAUUAAGGUCUGCAUUCAUAAAAAUAUUAUUUUUUACUUGCAAACGACUACCCCGAUGAUGGGAUUUACUCGAUAAACUUGCGAAAGUGAGUUUCUCGAGUAUUUUCUAGGUGAGAAAUUACUCUCGGAUCUUACCAGUAUGAUGGGUGAAUUCGAAUUCGCUUAGGACAUCAAUCGAGGACAAUUUUUAACGUCAAAAGAUCAGAUUGUUUACUCUAAAUGGUCUAAGUGUUCAUUACUUGAAAGAUCUAAGGAUUGCUUUGUAAAUUCUUGUAACACCCGACCCUAAAUUAUCUAUGACAUAUCAUUCACAUGCUUUGGAUAGCAUGUUUGUAUAUUGAAUUGCCCGGAAAACAAGUUAAAUGACUGUAUUGCCCCUAAUGGUACGGUUCAGUCAAAUAAGUCUUGAACUAGUUUAAACAGAGAAUCGAGGAUGAAUUUGAAAAAACUAAAACCUAUGGGUUGAUUUAAAAUGAGGAUUCAGAGUUUGAGGUCCGAUAUGGAGUUAAUCCGGACUUUAAGUAUUUUAAGGGUAAAAUGGUAAAUUACCACCUGAGGACGAAUAUGGAAAAUUUUAAUCCCGUUUGAUUAAGAUUGAUUAUAUUAAACAUAUUGGAGUUUAAUUUGAGGGUUUGACAGUGAAAAAAUUUAAUUUCGGUGAUUUCUAGAGUAUAGGGGCAAAAUCAUAAAUUUUUCACCCGCGGACAAAAUUUGAGAUUUUGAGAGAAUUUAGAUCAAAAUUGACAAAUUGGAGAGUGGUACGAGUAUAAGGGAUGAAAAAUAUGUCUAUGGGCAAUUUUUCAGUUUUUGGGGUAAAAAUGUAAUUUUGACUUUUACAGGGGCAAAAGUGUAAAUUUCAAAAAUUACUCCACCAAGACUUUGGAUAAGUCUUAGAAUUUUAUCUAAGCUAUGGAUAUGUUAGACAAGUGUAUGGUGAAAAUUUGGAAAUAAAUGGAUGGCUAGAAUUUAAGGAAUUAAUAAAAAAAAUGAAUAGAAUAAUAUUAUAUUAUUUUAGCCUUUAAAAAUGUCAAAAUUCCAGAAUUCUCAUCUUCUUCAGCCGUCCAAACCAGGAGAGAAAAAGGGGGAAAAGAAAUAAGAACCCUAGCUGAAAAAUUUGGGAAAAAUAAAGAGAAAUCAAGAAAUCAAGCAUUAAAAAGGUAAAUUUCAUUGAUUUUCCUUGUGAUUUUCACUACCCAUGCAUUUGUUUCUCAUUUUCAUGCAAAAUUAGAAAGUGGGUAUAGACACCCAUGCUGGCCAAACCUCCACGGAUGAGUUUUGAACUUGAAUUUUGGUUGAUUUUAAUUAAAUUAAGUGAUUUUAGUUAGGUUAUAUUGAACUAUAGCAAAAAUAAGCUAGAAAAAUAAUUUUCUCCCAUUGAAACCCAUUAUACCGAAUUUUCUAGGGGAAUAUUCGCUGCUGAUCUUGAUGUUUAUUUGAGGAAUUAUGAUGAAUAAUGAUGAAUUAUGAGCCUAGAAAAAUAAUGGGAAUUUUCGGAGCAAAAAAAUGAAUUUUUACCCACUAGGGUUAUUUUCGUUAUUUGCUAUCGAGACUGAUAAUUUGCACCACACUGAGGAACAUUAAGUCAAUUUGGGUGCAAUUGAGGUAUAGAAACUGAAAAAAAAUUAAUUUGGAGUUUAAACGGAUGUGUAUAUCGAUUUAUCCCGAAAUAGGCUAACAUCUCGUUUAGGCAAAAUUUAGACAUUUUGCACUUCAUAUCAUGCAUUAGUAGUAUAAAUUAGCUUAUUUUGGUUUAGUACCAAAGCAGUAAACCUCUUAAUUGUGCAAUUUGUCAAGGUGGCGAAUCCUUUGGUAAGGGUAAAGAAAUUGCACCCGAGGAAUAAUAGUUGGAGUACUCAAAUUUAGUUUUCAGAAACUGUGAGUAAACUUAUUAUCGUCUUAAUUAUCUAGAGUAGUUUUAUACAAUUGUGUGAUUUUAUGAAAAAUGGGUUUAUAUGGUAAAUUGCUAUGUUUUAAGAGAAAUUGUGAUUUUAUAAAAUGAUUUUAUAAAUUUUCUAGAAAAUCGAAUACUGGUUUUGACAAUAGAGUAAUUUGAGACUGCCUGCUUGUGUUGUAAAUUUAUGGUUUUAAAUUGAAUGGCUUAUGACAAUAAAUGAGCAUGAAUGGCUAAACUGAUUUUAGUGUUAGAAUUAUUUGUACUGUGUAUUUAGCCUUGAGAGGCUAGGUUGCGAUAAAUUGCCAUGUCAUGCAGAAAAAGAUUUUAUAAAUCAAGUGGUAGAUAAAAGAUUAGCUACUGCAGUGGUGGGGGGUUCCGUGGGCCAGCCUAUUAGAGGGACACGAUCAACUCCUUUAUAUUCUCACCUCGGUCGUAAAGGCGCGUAGGGUAUCUCCUGAGGUGAGCUUUUUGAGUGCACUUCACGUGGACCACCGCGUGAGAGUGAGACUUAGCCAGCGCUAAGGAACGGCUAUGUUUCAAAAUAAAAAUAUGAUUUAUGCGAAAUAUAAAUUUUUAACAACCUUGGCGGACUUCGUUGGAUACCCCUGGUCCAAGUGUCCCCGAGUACAAGAUUUGGCAUGAGCCAAGUUUUGAGUAAUUCACGAGCCAUAUUGAUUAUUUGGUUGAAAUGAAUAUUCGUUAUGUGAAAAAUUUAUUGAAGUUAAUUAUUUUUAAUUGUCUCCAUUUACUCGCCUUUAGAUAGUUUAGAUGGUGUCUGUUUACUCAUUGGGAUUUUAUAAUCUCACUACCCUCAAUUCCCCACAUUUUAGGUUCGGGAUAGCCAGUAGAUAGCUGAUUGCAUCAAGGACUUCAGUUAGCCUUGCAUUGUCAAAAUUAUAGAUUCACAGACUCGCAUCUUAUUGGUUAGUUGGGGGCCCACGUGUCAUUGUAAAAGUAAUUUUAUACUUUAGUUAUCUGAUUUAAAAUAUGUAUGAACAUAUUUAGCUUUUACACCAUGUUUUUGGCGAGUUUCGGUAUUAUCGAAGAAAAAUGACGAAAAUGCCCUUAUGAGCCAGAAAAUAAUAUUUUAUUAUUUUGAUUUGGAAACGACUUAUGAUUUCUUGAAAUGCAAGAUUUAAUAACUGUCGCUCACCGGGGAGAUGCAGAAACUGAUGCUAAGCCUUGCGGGGUUCCGAUCGGCAUUCGAGGUAAUGAGUGCUUAUCGGGAUGUCGCUGCGGUUGUCACGGCCCGAUGGGAGUUUCGGGUCGUGACAAUUCUCCUUCUUUUCUUUAUUUCAACCCCUACUUUUCACCAUUAUAUAAUUCCACAUGAUGAUUGUCAUAGAAAUGAAUGAUGAUUGGUAAAGAGAUGAACUAAUUAAGUAAGAAACUAUAUUUGUUGUUCAAUAAAAGACUUAAUGAUGAGGAAAAAAGAAAAAAGAGCCUCAACAUGAAAAAGGUCCAAUGUCAAAAGAAAUGAUGCCUAAGGAAAAUUAGGAAUUUCAGCCAAUGGGAAAGGCGUAGACAAAGAUGAGUGAAAGUUGUAGUGAAAAGGUUGGAUGAAGUAAGAAAAGGGUCAAGAAACCUUAAUGAAUCAUAAACAUGAAAACAUUCCAUCAAUUCAAUCGUGUACACAUGCCUAACCAUGCAUAUGAUCAUUUUCAAACAAGAAUCAAAAUUAAUACAUGUUCCAAGGUUCAAAAGUGGAAAUUUAUCGAACCUAAAGUGUUCAGGUUGUAAAACUUUGAUUAAGAUGGAAGUAUUUGAGUAUUUCAUUUUCAUAAAACAACUAAUGCAGAAAGGAUUUAAGCCUAAUUAAGUUGGCACGAGAGAUUCCAAGCCAAAUUUAGUUGACACUAGUAUGAGUUUAAAAAUGAUGUCAAUCCAAUUAAGUUGACAUUAGAUAAUUUAAAAUCGAACUUGUUUUGAAAUAGGUCGAGCCUAGGUCAAGUCUAAGAAUUUUAAUUUUUAAAUCGAAUCUGUUUUGACAUAGGUCGAGCCUAGGUCAAGUCUAGGAAUUUCAAUUUUUUAAUCAAACUUGUUUUGCUAUAGGUCGAGCCUAGAUUGAGUGUAGAAAUUUCAAUUUUUUAAAUCAAACCUAUUUUGAUAUAGGUCCAGCCUAGGUCAAGUUUAGAAAUUCAGUUUUUAAAAUCAAACCUAUUUUGAUAUAGGUUGAGCCUAAGUCGAGUUUAGGAAUUUCAAUUUUUAAAUCGAACCUAUUUUGAUAUAAGUUGAGCUUAAGUCAAAUCUAGGAAUUUUGAUUUUCAAUUUGAACUUAUUUUGAUAUAGGUCGAGCCUAAGUCAAGUCUAGGAAUUUGAAUUUUUAAAUCGAACCUAUUUCGAUAUAGGGCGAACCUAGAUCAAAUCCCAAAAUUUCAAUUUUUAAGUCAAACAUAUUUUAAGAUAGGUCAACCCUAGAUUAAGUUUAAGAACUUCAAUUGUUUAAAUCGAACUUGCUUUAAGAUAGGUCAAAUAUGGUGCUUACGUCUUUGCACUAUUCUUGAUUCUCAAGAAUGUGUAAAGAGAGGCAACUGUAGCACCUAUACCCAUAGAUCUCAAAUAAAAAAAAUAAUAAAUAAUAAAUAAAUUGCUCUUAAAAAAAUUGAAAUUGAUGGUUUUAGUAUUCUUAGCCUCUUUCUCCCAUAGUCAACUGAUCAGAUGUUCAAGCCGAUGGCUACCCUAUUGCUUUUCUAAGCACCGUCACUUUGAUACUUAGGAAACAGCUUGCACAAGGCAUUUAAUGCCCUUUGGGUAGCUAGAUUUGGGUCACCUCUAGCUGCCAUCCCUAGGUUUUCUUUUACAUGGAGCCCUUCAUUUGUAAAAUCAUGCUAAAAAAAGCAUGAUUUCAUUUCUAGAUUGUCCAAAAACUUGGAAAAUCGAGUUCUAUAAGAACCCUUGAAAUUCAUAAGGAAGAGGGGGCAAUUUCACAAAACUUAGCAGCCAAUUUCAUCACAGAAGCCUUAGGCAACCAAUUUCAAAAAAAGAGAGAAAACCCUAGAGCAAAAGAAAAACUCAAAAAAAUCCUAACUUUCUAUCCUAUCAAACAACCAAAUACCAUAAUCAAAAGAUUUAAGAAAAGCUGAAAUAAAAAUAACAAAUAGCAAUAAAAAAAAAGGCCUUGAAAAUUCGAAAACUAGAAAAGACUAAGGGGGUUUGUUUUUCUUUCUUUUCUUUUGGGAUCUUCACGAGAUUUGGGGAAUUUAGGGUUGGUGGUUUUUGAUCGGCUUGGUUGGGGAGUGAUUGUGAAGGGAAAAUAGAGAAAGUUGAUGAAAUCGAGAGAGAAAAAGGGCAAUUGACGAGGUAGGCCGGCAGUGAGAGUAGUGAUAAUAUAGGGAAAUAAGAAAGGGUGAAGAAAGGGGUUGAAAAACCAGCUUCAGAGAAGGGGAAGGAAUACUGUCAUUAGAGAGAGAAAAUGGGAAGGUGAAGUGAAGAGAGAAGAAAGAAAAAUAGUUUUUAUACUUAAGGUUAGCACUUAAAAACGACAUUAUUUUGGGAAGUAAAAAGGGAAGGAGCAUCAGUCAAAUGAUGUCGUUUCGAGCGUUUGGGAAGUUGUAGCAUAAGCACUAAAACGGUGCGAUUUGAGUAAGGCUUUGUGAGCCUUUGGAAACAGAUUUGUUGAAGUGGGUUUGGUUGUCUUGGGCCGCCGUUUGCCCAAGGAAGGUAAACCCUUUUCCUUUGUGGGUUUGGUAUGAUUUUGUUGUAUUGUGCUAGGCCCAAAUAUUUGGUUAGAAAAUAAAUUAGUUUUAGUAUGUGAUUAAUUAAAAUAAAAAAUAAAAAAUAUAUAGAAAAAUUAUCAAUUGCUAAGGUAAAAAUAUAAAGUGGAAAAAGCAAUAAAUUAUAAAUAGAGAGAUAGAUAAAUAUUUAAUAAUAAAGUGAUAGAUUUAGUUAUAUAGAAUAUAAGUGUGUGUGUGUGUGUGUGUUAUACCUAUCAAAAUGGGCUUGGCCCAUUGGGCCAACCCAUUUUUCAUUUAAUAUGGGGUGGGCUGGGCCAUGAAAAUUUAGGCCCAUAUUUAAACCGGGCCUAGAUGGGCCAGCCCACCAAAUCAAUAGGCUAGGGUGGGUUGGGGCGGCCAGCCCUAUGGGCCAAAAAAAUUAAUAAUUUUAAUUAAUUUAAUAACUUUAUAUAUUUAAUUAUAUAAAAGUAAUAAUUUAAUUGCCAAUAAUAUUACUUAUUUUAUAUAUUUUAAUGUGUUUUGUCACGACCCGAAACUCCCAUCGAGCCCGUGACAACCACCGCGACGUCUCGAUAGGCACUCAUUACCCCGAAUGCCGAUCGAAACCCUGUAAGGCUUAGCAUCAGCUUCUGCAUCUCUCCAGUGAGCGACAGUUAUUAAAUAUCACAUUUCAAAAAAAUCAUAAGUCAUUUCCUAUUCAAAACAAUAAAAUAUUAUUUUUUGGCUCACAAGGGCAUUUUAGUCAUUUUUCUUCGAAAAUACCGAAAUUCACCAAAAACAUGGUGUAAAAGCUAAAUAUAUUCAUACAUACUUUAAAUCAAAUAACUGAAGAAUAAAAUUACUUUUACAGUGACACGUGGGCCCCCAACUGACUAAUAAAAUGUAGGGUUACGAACCCUUACUUUCUAAGAUGCAACUCCGAGAUUAAUUCUCGUCUUAAUCAACUAUCAACAAAUUGUCCUGAGCCUGAAAAAUGGAUAGGAAGAGGGGUGAGAUUAUGAUUACAUAAUCCCAGUGAGUAGACAGACAUCAUCAAAAUAAUCUAAAGCCGAGUAAUAGGAGACAAUUAAAAUAAUUCAUCCCAACCCAUAUAAAUAAUUGGAUUUCAUUCAAUUACUCAACAUGGCUUAUGCACUUUUCAAAAACUUGGCCCUUGCCAAAAAUCCAUUCUCGGGGAUACCCCGCGAAGGCAUCUUACCGAGACCGCCAAGGUUGUUUAUUGUCACACACACAAACACAUUUCACCUUUGACAACACAGCCGUUCCUCGGCGUUGGCUGAGUCUCAGUUUCACGUGGUGGCCAGCGUGAAGUGUACUCAAAUCCUACCUCGGGAGUUAUCCUACGUGCCUCUCCAAUCGAGGUAAGCUCAAUAAUUGGGAACCGUGCCCCUCUAAUUAGGCUGGCCCACGGAACCCCCGUCACUGCAGUGCCCAAUUUAUAAUCCACAAACCAAUAAAAUCACAAUAGUAUGACAUGGCUCACUUAACACAUUCAAGGCAAAUCAAAGCAGUUCACAUAUUCUCGAAAUCACAAAAAUAACCAGUCAUACCCACAUUUAUCAUAAGCCAUUUAAUGAAAAUCAUGGAUAAACAACACAAUCAUAGUAUAGGUAUCCAAUUACUCUAUUUUUGAAAUCAUUAUUAAAUUUUCAAAAAUUUUAUAAAAUUAUUUUAUAAAAUCUCAUUUUUCCAUAAAACACAAUAAUUUUCCAAUUAAACCAUUUUNNNNNNNNNNNNNNNNNNNNNNNNNNNNNNNNNNNNNNNNNNNNNNNNNNNNNNNNNNNNNNNNNNNNNNNNNNNNNNNNNNNNNNNNNNNNNNNNNNNNNNNNNNNNNNNNNNNNNNNNNNNNNNNNNNNNNNNNNNNNNNNNNNNNNNNNNNNNNNNNNNNNNNNNNNNNNNNNNNNNNNNNNNNNNNNNNNNNNNNNNNNNNNNNNNNNNNNNNNNNNNNNNNNNNNNNNNNNNNNNNNNNNNNNNNNNNNNNNNNNNNNNNNNNNNNNNNNNNNNNNNNNNNNNNNNNNNNNNNNNNNNNNNNNNNNNNNNNNNNNNNNNNNNNNNNNNNNNNNNNNNNNNNNNNNNNNNNNNNNNNNNNNNNNNNNNNNNNNNNNNNNNNNNNNNNNNNNNNNNNNNNNNNNNNNNNNNNNNNNNNNNNNNNNNNNNNNNNNNNNNNNNNNNNNNNNNNNNNNNNNNNNNNNNNNNNNNNNNNNNNNNNNNNNNNNNNNNNNNNNNNNNNNNNNNNNNNNNNNNNNNNNNNNNNNNNNNNNNNNNNNNNNNNNNNNNNNNNNNNNNNNNNNNNNNNNNNNNNNNNNNNNNNNNNNNNNNNNNNNNNNNNNNNNNNNNNNNNNNNNNNNNNNNNNNNNNNNNNNNNNNNNNNNNNNNNNNNNNNNNNNNNNNNNNNNNNNNNNNNNNNNNNNNNNNNNNNNNNNNNNNNNNNNNNNNNNNNNNNNNNNNNNNNNNNNNNNNNNNNNNNNNNNNNNNNNNNNNNNNNNNNNNNNNNNNNNNNNNNNNNNNNNNNNNNNNNNNNNNNNNNNNNNNNNNNNNNNNNNNNNNNNNNNNNNNNNNNNNNNNNNNNNNNNNNNNNNNNNNNNNNNNNNNNNNNNNNNNNNNNNNNNNNNNNNNNNNNNNNNNNNNNNNNNNNNNNNNNNNNNNNNNNNNNNNNNNNNNNNNNNNNNNNNNNNNNNNNNNNNNNNNNNNNNNNNCCAUGAUGAUAAAAUCCCUUGGUCUUGACAAGUGUUGAGGUGAAAAUUUACCGAUUUGCCCCCAAGGUGGCAAAAUUAACCAUUUCACCCUUAUACUCCAAAUUAUACCGAAAUUAAAAUUUUUCACUUCUAAACUUCAAAUCAUACUCCAAUACUCAAAUCAUACUCCAAUAAGUCAAAUGGACCAAAAAAAUCUUUUCUAAAAAUUUCCAUUUUGUCCCCAAGUGGCAAAUGACCAUUUUGCCCCUAAAUAGUGAAAAUUCCGGUUUGACUCCAAAUUGAUCCUCGAACUCCGAAUUACCAUUUUGAGUCAUCCCUGAACUGUGAAACUCUUAAUUUCACCUUAAAACUCCUAUUUGAACUAGUUCAAGGCUUAAUCGACUUAAUGAUACCAUUAGGGGCAAUAUCGUCUUUCAACGAUUUCUCAAACUUCCUAAAUAUGUAACCAUUCUAUUGAGCAUGUAAAUGACGUUGUAAUUAUUUUAUAGAAUAGGGUUUGACAUGUUUAAUCUUUACUUAUCAAAUUAAUAAUUUUAAUUUAUGAAUUAAAUCAUAACAUAAUUUUAUUAAUAGAAAAUUUAUUAACUAAAAUUAUAAAAAUAAUUUUUUUUUUGUAAAAAAAGAAAUGGGCUGGCCCAACCCAGCCUAUGGGCUAGCAAGGGGUGGGAUGGGUUGGGGAUUUCACAACCCAUAUAAAAAAUGUGCUAGCCCAGCUCGGCCCAUAUUUUUUUAGCCCAUAAUGGCUAGGGUCGAGCUGGCCCAUAUUGACAGGUCUAGUGUGUGUGUGUGUGUAUAUAUAUAGGAAAAGAUGAAUGCCUAACAAAAAAAAAUAGUAAUGAAUAAUAGUAGAUCUAUGUUAAAAAUACAAAUAUAUGGGAUAGAUAAAUAAAUAUUUAGCAGUAAAAAUAUAGAACUAAGUUAAUAAAAUAAUAUUUCUAAAUUUCAAAGUGACUCGCUAAAUCAAAAAUUUUUCUAAAUUUCUAAAUUAGUAAUAAAUAUUGUUUUAUGAAUUUCUAAAUUUCAAAGUGACUUGCUAAAUCAAAAAUUCCUUUUAAGAAUUGAUUGCAAAUAUGCAAAAGAAGUUUUACAACAAGAUGUAAUUCCUGUGUUUUUAUGAGUGUAUUGAAUUUCUGUAAGAGGGGGAUGUGUUUUUAUUUCUCCUUUAUUAGUUUGCUAUUUGUUAUUAGUUUUUACUGUAUUUAUUGAUUGCUCAUAAUGAUUUUUAAACCAGUUAAAGAAUUCUAUUAAUAUUUUGUUCUUAUUCAUAAAAUUGUAAUAUUCUUUUAGGAUUUCAUCUUUUUGUUGUUCAUAAUAUUUGAAAUAAUUUUCUCUUUUUUGUUUAUUUGUCUUUGAAUAAAAUUGUUUUCUACACCAAUCUUUGUCUAUUUCAAAUUCUUUUUCUAACAUAAAUAUUUCUAAAUUUUGCUCUUCAUUUGAGUUUAAAUUUGGAUUAUUUAUCAUAGAUGAGUAUGUUGGUGACAUAUUGGGAGAAUUUGUUGAACUAUUUCUUUGGGUUGUGUAAACAGGUUGGGGUAUAUUGGAGGAGUUGUUUACUCUUUGUAGAUUUGUCCUAACUGUUGAAGGUAUUGAGGAUACAGAGGCUCUAGCCGUUCUAAAUUCUGUUUUUGUUACAGAUGGAUUUUUGCUUGCUAUGUUGAUGUUUCUCAUGGAAGAUGUUAUUUGAUCAAAAUCAAAAGAUUGUCUGGGAGGUAUUCUUGGGUGUCUAUUGAAGACAAGUUCCACUAAACCAUCUCUAUAUUCAGCUAUAUGAUUUAUUUCUGUAUUUUGAAUAACUAUUGGUACAAGAAAAAAAAUAUGUUAAAAACUAAACCCUAAACCCUAAACCCUAAAGAUGAAUGCCUAACAAAAAAAAAUAGUAAUGAAUAAUAGUAGAUCUAUGUUAAAAAUACAAAUAUAUGGGAUAGAUAAAUAAAUAUUUAGAAGUAAAAAUAUAGAACUAAGCUAAUAAAAUAAUAUUUAGUUAUGAAAAAUUAAUCUAGCUAAAGGAAAGAAAAUAUAUGAAAAAGUAAAAAUAUAUGUAUAUUUUGUCAUAAGAAAAUAGACUCAAUAAGGAGUGAAAUAAUAUUAAAAUAGAUAAUUAUAUGAAAGUGAGUUAAAUAAAAAAGGUAUAUAAAAUGUAAAAGAUAAGUUAGGCAUGUAAAUAGAAAUGAAAUAUUUAAUUAUAUAAAUUUAUAUUCAUAGAGGUAUAUAUAUAAAAAAUAAAAGAAUGGGACCUAGUAUGAAAUUAUUAAAUAUAAAAUAUAAUGAUUGAUUUAGGAUCAAUAGCGAUGAUAGGAUGCCCAUUCGGAAUGCGAGAAGUCACAAUUUCCAAUUAAGUUUCUUAGGUUAGGGAUUUUGAUUAAGACCGUACAGUAUGAUAGGAGGGUUUUAAUUUUGAGUCCCGAUGUUUCUAAUUCUAAGUCAAUGAAAAUCGUAUUAACCUAAUUACUAACCAAUAAAACAUAAAAACAAAGGAAUCAAAAAAUAAGGAAAAUAAUAAUAAUAAUAAUAAUAGUAAUAAUAAUAAUAGUUAUAAAUACAAGAGGGAAUAGAUAAAAUAUGUAGUUUUAAAAUAUAAGAUUAUAUAAAAUAAGGAUUUUCAAGAAAAUAAAUAAAUAAAUAAUGAUAAUAAAUUUUUAAAGAGAGUAAGAUUAUAAUAAUAAUGCACAUAGAGAAUAAUCAAUAGUGGACAUUAGAGUUGGUAGUACAUCUUGCAUUAUCAUCGCGUUUAAAUGUCAUGGCAUGUAGACAUUACAUGUGUAAGUCUAAGCCCCAAUGAUGGGACUUUUCAAGGGAGCUUGCGAAGGCGAGUUCCUUCGGAAAAUUUCUUAGAUGAGAGGAUACUUUCGAGUCCCACCAGUAUAAUGGGAGAACUAGGAGAAUAUCCUUAAUAAAAGACUUCUGCUCGUAUUUGGGUCUACAUUCAUAAAAAUAUUAUUUUUUUACUUGCAAGCAACUACCCCGAUAAUGAGAUUUACUCGUUAAACUUGUGAAGAUGAGUUUCUCGGGUAUUUCCCUAAGUGAUAGAAUACUCUCGGAUCCUACUAGUAUGAUGUGUGAAUUCAAAAAAUACCCUCUAUGAAAGGUUUUCGUUUGGCAUUAUCUAGAUUUUAUGCCAUGCAUUUCAUAAUUGCAUCAUGUAUACGUCACACACGUAAAACCGAAUAAAAUUUUUUAAUUUGCAAAUAAAAUAAAGAAUAAAGUAAAUAAACAAUAAUUAGGAAAACAUAAGAAUAAAAUCAAUAGUUUAGGUUAUAAUAAGAUAACAUAUGAUUAAAUGGUACUGUUUGUGAAAUGGGUGUUAUAGGGGUGCUAAUCCUUCCCUAUGCGCUAUCAUACUCUUGAGCCCAAUUUUAAAAAUUUACAGACCAGUUUAUUGUUCUUUAGAUGAACUUAAAAUCAAUUUAGGAUUCCAUCAAAUAGAACAAAUUAAACAAGUGACCAAUCGCACUUAAAUAAAAAAAAUUGGUGACAACUCUUAGUUUUUUUCAAGUCUCGUAGUUGGGUUCCCGGACCCGUAUGUUACAAUAGCUCCUUUUGUUGGUUGUUGUAAAAAUAGGAAAAGUUAGUACAAAGUCUAACUCGUCUUUCAGUGAGAGGAUAAAUGCUUAUGCUUCACUUUUUUUGUUCUUACUUAUAACCCAUUACAUUAUUAAAGUACUCUCAUUAUGAGUGACUUGAUAAUAUUAUCAUGUUUAGUUAAUAGUUAUUUAUAAUGAAGAAUUAAAAAUCAUCAUGUUUGGUAUCACAUAAAAAUCAUAUAUAAUUUUGUUUAAAAUAUUAAAAUAACAAUAAUAAUUUGAAUAUUUUAUAAAGAUACUAAAUUUUUAUUUAAUGUCUCAUAUAUAAGAUAUACUUAAAAGGUUUUAUCAACAAACAUGAAAAAGUAUGUUUAUCAAUAGGUAAAUUAACUUUCAAAAUAGUAAUCACAUAAAAAUCUUUGCAUGAAUGAGAAAAUGAUAAUGAAAUUUGCUGAGAAAACAAAAAUUAUAUUUCGUAUUAAAAAAUAAAAAGCAAAGAAAAUCAUGUAAUUUAAUUUUGGGUUCAAUAUAAAAAAUAGUAGUUUUGAAAAUGACAAAUAUUUAUUAUGUAAAAAUAACAACAAUCUCGUGAGAAAACAAGUUAUUCAUUCAAACAUUAAAAAAAAUAAUAUUCAUAAUUAAUCUUACAAAUCACUUCACAUCGAUUAAUAUAGUUUUUCAUCAUUUCGGAUGGGAUUAGAUCACCCUCCAAAGUGACAUACUCACUCUUAGUGAUCUUAGAUCACCAUCAUGUAGAAAACUAUGUUCCUAAACACGGUUAAUAUAAUUAACAAGUGUUGAUCACCAUGAAUCUCAAGGUGAUCGUCUAAGAUCAAACGUCAUCUUAGUGAUUGUUAUUCCUUUUCAGAAAGCAUAAUAUAUAAAAAAACUCCUAAAUUAUUUAAGAAAAUUUAAAUAAAUUUUUAUAUUUUUGUUGCGUUUAAUCAAACCCUUAUACUUUUAUUUUGAACCAAACAAGUCCUUAUAUUUUUAUUUUAAAUCAAAUAAGCCCUUAUGAUUAAUGAUUGAUUUAAUCAAAAUGUCAUUUAUUAUCUAUGCCAUAUAAAGCUAAUGUUGCACGCUAAAAUAUUGUAAUUGAUCAUGAUGUGGUAUGUUGAUAUAUCAUAGGAGAUGAUUUUAUAACAUACUAAUUUAGUAUGAUAACCUGACCAUGUGACUUUUUUCACCCUCUACAUCAUAUUUCAUGUCAGUUCCAUGUCGAAUAUAAAAUAAAAAAUGACAUUUUUAUUGAUGAUAAUUAGUCAAUUAUUAGUUAUAAAAAUUUAUUUGACUCAAAUAAAAAUAUAAGAAUUUGAUUAAUCACAAUAAAAGAAUAAAGACUUAUUUGAAUAUUUUUAAAUAGUUUAAGGACUUAUUUGAGUAUUAUGCCUUUUUAGAAUGAAUAAGAUUUAAGAUUCGAAUUCAUCUCCUUCAUUGGAAUUCUUGUAUAUAUCGAGAAACAAAUUGAGCUCAAAUAUAAAUCUAGGAUUUAUAGAUAUUUCUCCUUUAUAAUGAAUUAUGAUCUCUAAACAUCUCUCAAUCAACCUAAAGAUCAUUUCAAGGGCUCCCUUCAGGAUAAAGCCCCCCAAAAAAAAAAAAACCUAAAGAUCAUUUCAAUGAGUCGAUUGAAUUCUUUAACUCAAUAAAUUUGCACCUUUGAAACCGUGGCUAGUUCAUAUCUCAAUAAUCUAUGGUUUUUUUUUUCUUUUAAUAUUUGAUUUGGUCCAACAUUUAACCCUACUCUUGUUUUUAGCUAUGGACUCAAAAAAUGCAACCAAGAAAAAAUCAAGGAAAAAAAAAAGAAAGAAAGAAGAAAACUACAAAAGUGUGAACCAGCAAUUGUAGCAAGCCAGACAAAACAGGUGGGUCAUGGGUUCCCAACCAAAAAGGGUGAAGUAUCCAUGUUGAUUAUGCUACCCUUUGCCGACCAAAAAACAAAAGGAAUAAAGCACAAAGCAACACAUGACUUGAACAGCCGAAUUCUCUAACAAAACUUUUUCGAUGAACCCAAUUCUUUUUUUAUUUUUAUUUAAUAAAAAAAGAAAGAAAAGAUAUUUUAUAUUUACAGCACAUCUCCUAGAAGUCUCCACAAUGGACCUAACUAUCCCUUGUCCUUGCACUUAUGCGUGUUUUGUGUGCUUAUCCUUUGGAGAGGAACUAAGCUAUACACACAGAGAGAAAAGACUAGAGAUAUAGCUGCUCACACGUGAUUUCACUGAAUUACAAGUCCCACAUGAAAUAAGCUUGAGCUUCUUUCUCAAAUCGUCUGGUUUAUGAACAAAACAAGGGAAUUGCAAAGGAGGUAUGGAUCAGAUGGGAUUCAGCUUUUAUCCAAUGUAAUGUAUAGACCAUUUCAUAGAGAAGUUAAGACUAACAUUUUAUGAUGAAUUGUGUGAUUGUAGCUUAAGAUUUUUUCUACGUUUACAAGCUAAGUGUAACCCAAAGAGUAUAUUAUUUGUUUUUGGGUUUUUUAACUACAAAAUUUUUGUGCUAUUACAUUUGUAGGGGUAAGCCUCCAAUGCUGAGUUGUGUUGUCCCUUUGUGUCUUGGUGAUUACAUGCAUAAUUUAUUGAACUAUCGCAUUUUGUUCAUGUUUCUUCAUACUUGCACGUUCCUUGUCUUUUACAUGAUAAUUUAAUGAUUCUUUUGAGUGAGAGUAAUUAAAAUUUUUGGAACCUUCCUAUAAAAUAAGCUUAACUAUUUCUUUUGUAGCUCACCAAAAGUUCACCAAACAAGCAUAGACUUAUUCCUCUUUCUUUUGUCCUUUUAAAGUCCGUCUCUUAUGGAUCAACGGAUGAUCCACAAAGAAAUGUGUAUUCCAAGGCAAAUUGAGUUAAGUUUAAGGAAUGAAGCUUGUUGGAAAGACAACUUUCUUUCAAAACUCAAACAUGUUGAUAGCUUUGAUGGAAAAGAGUUUCCAAUGACUUUAAUCUAAUAUAAUACUACAAAGACUAACAAUAAUAAUAUAGAGAAGAAGAAUCUCACAACAUCAUUUACACAUGGCACACAUGCAGAACCCCAAAUAGCCUGAAAACCCCGAGUGCAAACAUGUGAUUUAAAUCCAUUCUGCCCAUAAAUAAUCAUGGGAUUGAAUGAUCUAACGAAGGCAAAAUAAACAAUUACGGGAAAGUUUGGGAAAGAAGGCUGAGGAAAAGAGAAAAGGGACGCUGCAGCUACUUGAUCAGGCCCAUGCAGGGAAUGUGCUGAACAUGCUGUACAUUUCAUGCUGCUGCACUGUCUCACCUUUGUCACAUGCCAUCACUCCUUCAAAUCUACACUCCAAAUCCUCUCUCUCUCUCUCUCUCCCCCCAUGUGCUUCUCUUACUCCCAAUGGGGCUUUGCUGGCCCAUAUCACUUUCACAUGCACCCUCUAGGGAAGCCACAACGCUGUAAAACCCUAAAUCCAACUAGCUCACAGCCUCUCCAUUUUGCCCCAUUCAUUGACUCAAAUGCCCUCUAUACCUAUUUUAGUCUCCAUUGUCUUGUAUUUAUUUUAGGAUCGUACUCUUAUCAUUCUUCAUUAUUGUUGCCUUUUACCUUUUAAGUUUUGGAUCAUAUGGGGUUCCAAAUGUCAAUUAUAUUACUAAUCUUGUCGGCUCCAUUCCAUACUCAAAACAUUAUCUCCAUCUAUAUGUACAUAUAAUAAUCACCUAGGUUUAUCCUCUUUUCACAUCUCUAGGUUGACAAAUUUUUGGUCGUUUUGUCUAUCAAAUUAUCAAUCAAUUCUAAUUUCUUUUCAAUCUUUUUUUAAUUCCUCAAACGUUGGAGGCCACCUAUUUUUUUCUCUCUCUUUUUUAACUAUCAAUAUAUGAAUUACGAGUUUAAGGAGAAGAGGAGAUUUGAACUUAAGACUGUAAUCAUUUUUAAGUAAACAAGGAUAAAUUCUUACAAUAUUUUUUUCUUAAAAAUGCAAUUUUAUUUGAGGGAAGGGUGUUUAGGGAAAGAAACAAUUUGAACGUUUUCCAACUCCGCAUGUGGCGUUACAGAUAGGCAGGCUUUUUUUGGGUGCCAAGCCCUCCCUCCCUCCCUCGCGGGCUUGCAAGUUGUUCCUCUUCCCGCUUUAACUUUUCAAGUGAGAUACGAAAUUGGUGUCCUUUUCUCACCAAAAUCAGAAAAGCAACCUAACCUAAUAACAAGUAAGCAAAAGAAAAAUCUGUAUACGUAGGGCCUCCUUCAACAGCAUCCUACUUGAUUAGGAGCCACACCCAUGGACUUUCAAACACCCAAUCAAAACUCAAUGAUCUGCCCUUCCUUUAUGACUAUAUUUUUGUGGCAAAAUUUGUUGGCGUCUUUUUCCUACUACCCUUUUCCUUUGCUAAUUCAACUAGCCAAGUUGCUCCCAUAUUUGGGGGUCCUUUUUUUAAUAAAAUCCUCCCUGUUACAAGUUUAAAUGUAUCUUUCAUCAUUGAACGCUUACAUUCAUAUACAGAUAUAUUCAUAUACAUAUAUACAUUUGUAUAUAUAAUUUUGUGUAUAAUACAUUAGGUAAUUAUAAAAUUAUAUAUGGUACAAAUUCUCAUGUUAAAAAAAUCUAAUUGAUCGAAAUAUAAUAAGUUUGAUAUGUUCAAGGGAUCGUCCAUAAUUACAAGAGGGAAAGUAUGUCAACUAUUCUGUUUGUUUGUAUGUGAAAUGAUGAAAGUAUUGUAAGUUACUUGAAGGUAAUGUAUACAUCCGAGGAAAAAAGGGUCCUAAAAGCAUUUAUUUUUAUUUAAUGAAGGAGGACGUUGGCUACCGGAGGCUUAUUUGGUACAUGAUGUGGUUAACCUUUGUGUUGACAUGACAAAUUAAUGUCAAUGGAUAGGUAAAUCCUACAAGUAUUCUGCAGAGUUAAUUUGAACUCACCCAACUCCAUCAAACUUGUCAAAAUGGUGUGUAAAUUCAAGUGGUAUAUAUGUAAAAUCUUUACUGAACUUUUGAGGUCAUGCAUGAUAAUUUUGACUUUCUUUUAUUUGUGAUUUCGUUUACCGACCAUUGCAUCAUGCCCCUUAAAACUUUUCGGUCAAGACACAUGUGCAUUAUGUUUAAUAUAAACUAUUUAUAUGCUCAAUGUUAAUUUUUCUUAUAACUAAUUUGAAGAAAAUAUUUGAGUUCACGUGCUACUUUGUAAUUUGAAAAAUACUGUUGAAUUCAAUUCACAAUCAUAAUUAUGUCCAUUUAAGAUUUAAGUUUCAAUUCUCUUUCUUUCAAAACUAUUGAAAAAGAAGGCCAAGCAAUACAUACAUAUAUAAUUAUCAUUUCUUUAUCGUGUCUAAAUCUUUUUCUUUGACUUAAGAUACAUGAUCAAUUUUAAACCACGUUCUUCUCUUUUCAAGGGUAUUUCAUAUACGCAACGCUAUUUUAAAAAUAUCAAGGCCAAUAAAAUGGCAUUUCUGUAACAACUCAUAAAACAGGUGGCAAAUUCUUAACUUGCACUUACAAAAACCCCGUUACCCCUUCUCUGUACUCUCCAAAGAAAAACCUGCUCACCCUUUUCUUCUUCCUUUCUCUUGGAAACAACACUCCCCCCACCCCCCAAAAAAGGAAAGAAAAAAACAAAGGAAAAAUGAGAAUCCAAAAAACCUUCAAAAAUUCAUUGAAGAAAGCUCAAAGAAAAUCAUCAACAUCAAGAAGAGCAAGAAAUAUAGCGAGAAGACGAGUUGUUCAUGCACGUGGCUGCAAGAGAAGAAGCUUUGUCAAGUGUUCCAAGAAGGUUUCAGACAAGCUCAAAGCUCUCAAGAGUCUAAUUCCUCAUGUCCCAAAUGGAAGUAACGAGAUAGUUAAAGCAGAACAGCUGUUCCAAGAAACUGCAGAUUACAUCAUUGUUUUGAAGACCCAAGCUUUUGUCCUGCAAAAGCUGAUUGAGUUUUAUGAUGGGUCUAGAAAUGAGCAGCAAAAUGUUCAAGAAGAAUCAUCAUAGUCAUUAAUUUGAACUUCUUUUUUUCUGUUUUCAUUUUCAUGCAAGACAAGAAGAAAAAAAAGAGAAAAAAAGAAGAAGAGAAGAUCUUUUGGUACUUGUUUGAUGGAGGAGAAAGUGAAGGAAAAUGGAAAGGAAAUGGAAAGGGUUUUUCUCGGAAUAUAUUACAUAUAUGCAAAUUGCUGGACUUGCGAGGCAUAGCCAUGUUACAUAAGAAAUUUUUUCUCUUCUUUUCUCAUUCUCUUGGCAUGUUUAGAUUUUAGGUGUGACUAGAAAAAUUAAAAAAAAAAAAAGCAAUCUCAGUAGAGUGCAUUGGGAUUUGGAAUUUCCAAUACUACUAGUAAAGAUUUUCUUUUCUUAACGAGUAUUAAAUUAUUGAAAUUUGUUCAUUUAUUUGAAGAGACUAUUUACAAGUUUUUAAACCAUGGUGUUGCUUAUUUUGCUCUGACACUAAACAGGAAAAAUAUCAAUUUCUCAUUAAUACAGAAAUUAUUGCUGUAUUUAUGAAUUAUAUAUCCGAUGUGAAUUUUUUUUUUUUUAGAUAGAUGUCUCGAAUUUAAGGGAGUGCAGAGAGAAAGAGUAUGGGAAGGGAAGUAUGAUCUUUGACAUAAUUAUCUUUAAGUAAAAUGGGAAGAAGUGGCCCUUGUCAUAUGGGUGAAGGCAUGCUUCUGUCUCUCCCCGUGGUUAUGAAUUGUGAUGAAAGUGACUUGUUACUCAGCUGUGAAAGAAACCCACGUGCAAAAGCCAAUUUUUUUGGUAAGAAAGCUUGCAGUUUGGCCCUCUCUCUCUCCUUUCAUUCACAUGGGAUGGUGAGUGCUUGCCUCUUUAUUUUUCUUCCAAAUGUCUAAUAUCUGAAUGUAUAUCAAGUACCGUCAAUGAUUGAGAAGAUAAAUUCUUUGUGGCAGAUGGAGAUAUAUAUGCAUGUAAAAAUAAUUGGGAAUUUAUGAUUAACAGAACCAACCUUGAUGAUCAUAGCACUAAAAAGUAGUUCAAGGAUCUUUUACUAAUUAUUUAGUCCUCAACCAUUCAUCGUCAUGUUUAGCAUAAUUUUUGGUUUCAAUUAUCUUUCUGGCACAUAAAAUUUCGGUGGAUAUAAGCCUUUUAAUCUUGGCUUAACCUUUGAACAAACUUGUCAUGGGUGUAAUUUCGGCUUUAAUGGUCAAUAGAGUACCACCACACUUACACAAUUACACUCUACCAACUCUGAAUCAAUUAGAUUAGGGAUUGAAUCUCUCUCUCAUCCCCUAAUCUUGACAAGUCAUGUUUCUGACAAGUAGUUCUCUCCAAAAUUGGACCUUUCAUUUUGGAUAAUCUCACCAUCCUUACUCUCCAAAGUGGGCAAAUGUAUCAUGGGAUGCUUGUUUUGUCACGAUCUAAAUCAAGGGGCCACGAUCGAUGCAUAAAUCAAGGGGCCACGAUUGAUGCAUGAAUCCAACGAGCAGAGCCCACGAGACUCGAAUAAGCUUCAGAAUUUCCAAAUCCAUUUCAAAUAUGUUGCACAAAUUCAUCAAUUUAUAUAACUAUCACAUGUUCAUUUAGCACAAAACUUUCAAAUUUACAAUAAAUGCUCCUUGGCACAUAGAUAAUACAACAGUAUUUUACACUGUUCAUAAAGCCAUACAUUGACUCUAUUAGCGGGUUCGUCGCAUACAACCCAUUAAACACAAUAAUGGCAACAUAAUGUCAACAUGUUCUAGAAAUAGUUUGAAAACUAAAACCGGAAACUAGAAGACAACAUAAGUUCGAACUCAGUGGGGUAGACUCGUCAAGUGUAGAAUGCCUACCAUAUGCCAAAAUUGUCUAUCUAGAGACGAUGUUAGCCACGCAAAUUUUGUAGCCUCUUUAUCUGUGCACGCUAAAAAUGAUUUAGGUGAGUCAUCUAAUACUCAGUGAGUGGGAGCAAAGAACUCAAAUAUAACUUGUGCAGAUAAAUGUAUUCAAAUGCAUUCACAAUGUAGCCAAAAUAUUCCAACAAACAUCUCUAACAAUUGAGGUAUACUGAAAUUAACUUUGUAGGGUACUUACCAUAAUUACUGCUCAAACGACAUUCUCAUAUAUCAUAACCAAUGUAGCUAAUCUCCGUAAGUAGUGCAUAUCAAAUUAAGCUUACCUCGGAAGCCGUUAUUAAAUGUUAAGUUCCUCGGGCAUCACAUCAUUGACCGGAACAAUAGCAAAACCACACACAUUAUUGCUUACCUCAAAGUUUUUCCAUCAAACACUAAUCACAUUUCAUUCUCACAUCAAUAAUCACAUAGUCAACACUAUAGCAUGCUAUUCACAAAUGGUAUCAUCAUAGUUGAAGCAUAGUUAAUAAGGGGUCUUCUUUGGACAUGGUCAAAUCACAUACGAUGGCCAACCGACGGAGUCAAAUCACGUGCGGUGCUGAAUCAAUCAACAGAGAGUCAAAUCACACACGAUACUGAAGUAACCGACAGAGGCUCAAAUCAUGCAUAGUACUGAAGUAACCUAUAGAGGUUCAAAUCAUGUAUGGUACUGAAGUAAUUGACGGAGGUUCAAAUCAUGCAUGAUGCUAAGGCAACUAGUGAAGGUUCAAACUAAGCACAAUGUAGAAGUAAUUGGUGGAGGUUCAAAUUACGCACAUCGCUGAAAUAGUUAGCAGAGAGUCAAAUCAUAAUCACAGGGAUAGGACUCUAUUCAACCAUAAUUAAAUUAACGUCGGGAAUUCACCCAUCGGACGAAACAUAAUCAACUUCUAAACCAUCAAGCCAUUAACAACUCAUAUAUCAUGUUUCACAUAAAAUGGUCAUAGCUUAUUAAGCUUUUCAUGCUUUACUAAUUCAACAUCGAAUUCUAUAUAAUUCUACUCAUCAAAGACAUUAGCAUAAUGCUUCUCAAAUUAACCAUUCAUCAUAAUAAACUUCUCCCACAAAUAUCACAUAAUUCUUCAUAUACAUAGCAAGCUUAAUAAAUAUUAAUGUUAUUCAACAGUUAUUUCAUUGGUCAUAAAAUCACAAGUAGCGAACCCUAUGGCUGGGAGCACAAGAAAAACAGAGCAUACAUGCCACCAUGUGGCUCACAACACAACACACAUACAUUAUUUAACAUAUGCCAAUAAUUUACUAGCCUAGGGAUAACUAUCUAAGCAUUAAUUAACCAAUCAAGUACCAUGGUAGCACAUUAACAAUGCAUUAUGCAUUACAUGCAUUAAUUCAAGUACUCAAACAAGAAAACCCUACUCACAAUGACAAGUGAAGGCUCCUCCAUAGCCAAACUCGAACUUUCCCCCGUCACCAAUAAAUUCAACUAACUCAACAACGAUUACAAACUCAAUAAUGCUCUAAUAGCUUCAUUUCCCCUUUGUACAAAUCAAAAUAAUAAUAAUUUCUCAACUUUUAGCACAUUUUCAACAUUUAAAACUUACUAUAUUUCUAGCUAUCCAAUCCACAUUUCACAAAUCAUAUUUUCUUUAGGUUUUAAAGCUUAGGGUAGUUAGAAUCUUACCUUUGAUGUUAAACAAACCCAACCUUUAGCUCAAUCAACCAACCAACUUAAGGAGAAGUUGUCACUAAAGCUGGAGCAACAUAUAUUUCACAUUACAAUUGAUUAAAUUGAAAAUCAAUUAGUAAAAAGGUUUAAUCCUACCUUUAUAAUGUUUUCUAAGUUCCAAAUCAUUUUAAACUAGCUCACAAAUCCGAUGGGAGACUUAGACUUUUAAAAGGGGUAGAGCAUGAGAGUGUUUCCUUUUGUUCUCUAAAUGAGAGGGAUUGCCCAAAGUGCUUUAUUUUUUUGCACUUUCCCAUGCAUCUAUCGAUAGAUCCUUCAUGAUUUUAAUCACUUGACCCUCCAUCUAUCCAUAGAUGGUGAGCUGAGCAUCUUUAGAUCAUUCUCGUAUUGCUUUCUAUAGAUAGAUUCAACAUAUUUAUCGAUAGAUAGUGUCCCAAAAGCUCUUAAUUGCUCAUGGGUGGAUAUUUAUCGAUAAUUGUGCGAAUAUAUUGAUAGAUGUUCUUUAGUUUAUUACAAAACUCUUUUUAACUUUUAUCUAUCGAUAGAUUUAGAACAUCUAUCAAUAGUUCUUGUUGAGACUCUAAAUUUUCAUAACUCCAAGCCUCCAAAUUCAUUUCUCUAAGUCCCCAAUGCAUUUUCAUUUCAACCAACAUCAUAAUCAUCCAUAUAACUCAAGAUUUUCAUACACAUACUCCAAUAUAAUUCAAAAUCCUACUUUAAACUUCGAACCAUAUAAUUCAACAUUCAAACUUAAUAUUUGUGGCCUAAGUACCACAGUUAACUUUCUCAAAUACCACAUAUGCAUUAUAUUGUCAAGGAUUUCCAAAUGUGUGAAAAAAUUCAAAGUCAUCCUUUAUGGACAUUCACAUUAUCAAAGGUAUACAAAUAUACGCAUUAAGUUUCAAAUUAACUCAUCAAAUAGCUUAACUAGCAUCACACAUGCCAUUUCAUACUCCAUAGCAAAGUCAGAGUGUUAUAUGUUUUGACCUUAUAAUUGUAUCUUCUUAAUUUAUUGGAUUGCAACUCAUCGACCAAAGCUCGAAGAAUCUAUGAUAACUAUCUCUUAUUGUAUAGUUUAAAGAAAGAUCGUAAGUACGUGGAACCAAAAAGAGUCCUUUAAUUCCUAAAUGUCAUGUUGGUAUUUACAUAAGAUGUUUUGAUAGCUUAUAAAGGAGCAUAUCUGAACAACUUAAUUUUCAUCCAUUUUUUUGUUAACAACAUUUCAUAACCUGCUAAUGCCCAAACCAAGUGCUAAUCCCAAUCCCAUGCCAAGCCCAGAUGCCUUUUGAAAGGGACUUGUUUUCAUCCUUCUACAUGAUUCUGUUGAAAUAUAUAUAUAUAUACAUAUAUAUAUGUAUACAUAUAUAUAUGUAUAUAUACUAUUANNNNNNNNNNNNNNNNNNNNNNNNNNNNNNNNNNNNNNNNNNNNNNNNNNNNNNNNNNNNNNNNNNNNNNNNNNNNNNNNNNNNNNNNNNNNNNNNNNNNNNNNNNNNNNNNNNNNNNNNNNNNNNNNNNNNNNNNNNNNNGUUACAUAUAUAUAUGUAUAUAUACAGUAUAUAUAUAUGUAUAUAUACAGUAUGUAUAUAUGUAUAUAUACAUAUAUAUAUGUAUAUAUAUAUAUAUUUCUAGAGUUAGAUUUUUUGGCUUGGUGGCUUGGCCGUGCGUUACAUAUUCUUGGUAAUAUGAUAAAAAUGGAUUUGGUUAUUACAGUAAUAAAAUAUUAUACAUCUAUAGUUAACAGAAGUCCUAAAUAAUAAAUUAAAUAUUAGUACAAAUAUAUUUAGAUUUUUACGAAAAUAUAAAAAGAAUAUAUGGUAAUAACAUUUCUUUAUAGUUAACAAUAUAUUCUUGACAAGAUUAGCUAUUCAAAGUGCCCCAAAGAACACAUUGAAAAUUUUUUAAUGUCUUUAAAAUGAAACCGAAUACAUUGAAUAUCCUUUUUUGCUAUGACUCUUAUAUUGUCAUUACUAAAUAUAUCAUAAAAUUUUGUCUACAUAUUUAUACAUGUUCAAAGGUUUUCGUAUGAACCAUCUUCAAAUAUUAUGCCAAUAGCUCUAAUGCGUAUAUCCAAGUCAAAAUCACUCAUGACAAGUCUUUUGUUUUUGUUUUUAUCAACCCUCUUCUUCAAGUUUGAUGUUACUAAAUAAGGUUAAGACUAUUGCACAACCAAAAGCUAGGCAUGGCCAGCUGUCGGGGAGUCCAUUCGAGUAUAUCCUACCAACUUGAUUUUUCACCAAAGAUAUCAUCUUAAACCAAACAUUGAGUUUAUGUUGCUUUCCUUAAAAAUAGUAGUCCAUCUUUUGGGGAUGCAGUUCUAGGGUCAAUAGAUAAUUCUACAAAUGAUCGCUGAUGGUAUGGUGAUAUUAAUCAAAUAAAUUGUUUGGAAACAAAUCCAAAUGGAGGGUCAAAAUGAAAAGGACAGGAAAAAUGGAAGUAAACAAAGCAAGUGCAGCAAUUAGUCAUAGAUUGUUCCUCUAUUGAAAAUCUAGUGGAUUCAUGUAACACUCGACCCUAAAUUAUCUGUGAUAUAUCAUUCACAUGCUUUGGAUAGCAUGUUUGUAUAUUGAAUUGCCCCGAAAAAUAAGUUAAAUGACUGUAUUGCCCCUAAUGGUACGGUUCAGUUAAAUAAGUCUUGAACUAAUUUAAAUAGAGAAUCGAGGAUGAAUUUGAGAAAACUAAAACCCAUGGAUUGAUUAUAUUAGACUUAUUGGAGUAUAAUUUGAGGGUUUGGUAGUGAAAAAGUUUAAUUCCGGUGAUUUCUGGAGUGUAGGGGCAAAAUCAUAAUUUUACCAUCCGCGGACAAAAUUUGAGAUUUUGAGAGAAUUUAGAUUAAAUUUGACAAAUUGGAGAAUGGUAUGAGUAUAAGGGAUGAAAAAUAUGUCUAUGGGCAAUUUUUCAGUUUUUGGAGCAAAAAUAUAAUUUUUGACUUUUACGGGGGUAAAAGUGUAAAUUUCAAAAUUACUCCACCAAGACUUUGGAUAAAUCUGAGAAUUUUAUCUAAGCUAUNNNNNNNNNNNNNNNNNNNNNNNNNNNNNNNNNNNNNNNNNNNNNNNNNNNNNNNNNNNNNNNNNNNNNNNNNNNNNNNNNNNNNNNNNNNNNNNNNNNNNNNNNNNNNNNNNNNNNNNNNNNNNNNNNNNNNNNNNNNNNNNNNNNNNNNNNNNNNNNNNNNNNNNNNNNNNNNNNNNNNNNNNNNNNNNNNNNNNNNNNNNNNNNNNNNNNNNNNNNNNNNNNNNNNNNNNNNNNNNNNNNNNNNNNNNNNNNNNNNNNNNNNNNNNNNNNNNNNNNNNNNNNNNNNNNNNNNNNNNNNNNNNNNNNNNNNNNNNNNNNNNNNNNNNNNNNNNNNNNNNNNNNNNNNNNNNNNNNNNNNNNNNNNNNNNNNNNNNNNNNNNNNNNNNNNNNNNNNNNNNNNNNNNNNNNNNNNNNNNNNNNNNNNNNNNNNNNNNNNNNNNNNNNNNNNNNNNNNNNNNNNNNNNNNNNNNNNNNNNNNNNNNNNNNNNNNNNNNNNNNNNNNNNNNNNNNNNNNNNNNNNNNNNNNNNNNNNNNNNNNNNNNNNNNNNNNNNNNNNNNNNNNNNNNNNNNNNNNNNNNNNNNNNNNNNNNNNNNNNNNNNNNNNNNNNNNNNNNNNNNNNNNNNNNNNNNNNNNNNNNNNNNNNNNNNNNNNNNNNNNNNNNNNNNNNNNNNNNNNNNNNNNNNNNNNNNNNNNNNNNNNNNNNNNNNNNNNNNNNNNNNNNNNNNNNNNNNNNNNNNNNNNNNNNNNNNNNNNNNNNNNNNNNNNNNNNNNNNNNNNNNNNNNNNNNNNNNNNNNNNNNNNNNNNNNNNNNNNNNNNNNNNNNNNNNNNNNNNNNNNNNNNNNNNNNNNNNNNNNNNNNNNNNNNNNNNNNNNNNNNNNNNNNNNNNNNNNNNNNNNNNNNNNNNNNNNNNNNNNNNNNNNNNNNNNNNNNNNNNNNNNNNNNNNNNNNNNNNNNNNNNNNNNNNNNNNNNNNNNNNNNNNNNNNNNNNNNNNNNNNNNNNNNNNNNNNNNNNNNNNNNNNNNNNNNNNNNNNNNNNNNNNNNNNNNNNNNNNNNNNNNNNNNNNNNNNNNNNNNNNNNNNNNNNNNNNNNNNNNNNNNNNNNNNNNNNNNNNNNNNNNNNNNNNNNNNNNNNNNNNNNNNNNNNNNNNNNNNNNNNNNNNNNNNNNNNNNNNNNNNNNNNNNNNNNNNNNNNNNNNNNNNNNNNNNNNNNNNNNNNNNNNNNNNNNNNNNNNNNNNNNNNNNNNNNNNNNNNNNNNNNNNNNNNNNNNNNNNNNNNNNNNNNNNNNNNNNNNNNNNNNNNNNNNNNNNNNNNNNNNNNNNNNNNNNNNNNNNNNNNNNNNNNNNNNNNNNNNNNNNNNNNNNNNNNNNNNNNNNNNNNNNNNNNNNNNNNNNNNNNNNNNNNNNNNNNNNNNNNNNNNNNNNNNNNNNNNNNNNNNNNNNNNNNNNNNNNNNNNNNNNNNNNNNNNNNNNNNNNNNNNNNNNNNNNNNNNNNNNNNNNNNNNNNNNNNNNNNNNNNNNNNNNNNNNNNNNNNNNNNNNNNNNNNNNNNNNNNNNNNNNNNNNNNNNNNNNNNNNNNNNNNNNNNNNNNNNNNNNNNNNNNNNNNNNNNNNNNNNNNNNNNNNNNNNNNNNNNNNNNNNNNNNNNNNNNNNNNNNNNNNNNNNNNNNNNNNNNNNNNNNNNNNNNNNNNNNNNNNNNNNNNNNNNNNNNNNNNNNGUGUUUGUUUAUUCAUUGAGAUUUUAUAAUCUCACUUUUUUUUUUAUCCCAUCAUUUCAAGCCAGGUUAGCCUGUAGAUAGCAGACAUAGUCGAGAACUAUAGUUGGCCAUACUACUUCAAAAACUGUAGGUUUACUGUCUUUUCUACUUUUGUUCAUUUGUGGGCUCAUGUAGCACUGUAAAUUAAAUUUCAUACUUUGGUUUUCCGUUUUAUAGUUUGUAUAAAUAUAUUUAACUUUUAUGCUACUAAAAAUCAUUUUUAGAAUACUCUAUAAAUAUUAAUUUGUAAGAAAAUAGAAUAUUUUGUCGAAUAUUUUUAUUUUAUUUAAAUGGUUAUAAUUCCAUUUUAAAUCACGUUUUAGACAUUCAAAUUUAAUUUCGAUUUCGAAAUAUACAUUUCUCGCUUAAGUACUACAUUUUGGUCAAAUUUGAAAUUUUUGACGAAAAAUGACCAAAAUGCCCCUGUGAAGUGAAAUUUAUUUUUUCACUGUUUUAAAUUGGAAAAAGGCUUAAAAGCCUCUAAAAUACGACAUUUGGCAACGAUUAACCACAGGGGAGAUAAGAAACUGAUACGAAAGCCUUGCGAGGUCUCGAUAUGGUAUUCGGGGGAUGAGUGCCUAUCGGGAUAUCGAGGCGGUCGUCACGAACUCAAGGAUGGUUCCGGGUCAUGACAAUUCAAUUUGAUCUAAGAUAGAUGAAGAAACAAGUAAUAACUUAACAAACUUAAACUAUCUAUGUUAUUAUAUAUAGAUGUUACCCAAUGAAUUGGUAACUUUAACAAGCAGGGAAAAUGCAUAAAUACACAAACAAUUCAAUCAAUGUAACCAUAUAUGUGACUUUCAAAAAAAAAAUGUAACCAUAAAAAUGAGGAUUAAUAUUACCUUCUCCUACAUAAUUAGGUAUCUGAUGGGUUAUUUUUAUAGUUUUUGUCAGCUUGAGCUGUAUGUGUGGUGUAAUUAUUAACCUUAAGAAUAUUUUGGGAGAAUAUUUCUCCAUUUUCUUUUUACUUUAUUUGUACUUCAAUGAAGUCUAGGAUUAGAAUACUUCUUUAGUUGUUAUUUUUUUUUUUUUCACACUAAGUAGGUUUAGAUUUAGUGGGCUAUUAUAAAUAGCUCCCUAUGUAAACCUUUAUUUUUCAUCAAGCAAUUUAAUUUUUUGCUUAGAUUUUAGGUAUUUUCUUCACGGUAUCAUGGUAGUUUUAGUCUUCAAAGAAACCAGAUUAUUUAAUUUUGGGUAAAAUACCCUUACCCCCUAAGUUUUGAUCGAAAUUACAUGAAAGUCCAUUAGUUUUCAAAAUAGACACUUCACCCUAAGAAUACAAACACUAUUAACAGAAGUUAUGAAAAGACUAAAAUGCUAUUUCUUUUUUUAUUAAUUUAAAAAAUUAUUAUUAUAUUUAAAAAAUAAAUUAAAAAAAAAAGAGAUUGGUGCUCCUUAACUCACUAAGAAAAGGGAGCAUCAGCCGGUGCUCCCAAGAAAGGGAAGCACCGAUCAGUGUUCCCUAAGAGAGGGAGCACUAGAUCAAUGCUCCCAAGGGAGGGGAGGUUUCUUUUUAAGUAAUAAAAAUAAUAAAAUUAUAUAAUAGUAAUUAUAAAAAUUAAUCAAGACUAAAAUAAUUUUUUUUAUCUUUACCACGUCAGCAAUUUGACGAAAAUACUAAUAGUUGAACCUAUGUGUCUACUGAAAAAUAUUUUUUUGGGACGGAGUGUCCAUUUCGAAAACUAGCAGACCUCCGUGUAAUUUCAAUAAAAACUUAAAGGGAUAAAAGUAUUUUACUUUUCAAUUUUACAAUUAAUGGGAACUUGAAAAAGAAUAUCAUAAUCUAGAAUACAAACUUAACUAUUAGUGUCAAACCCUGCUUUGUAAAAUAAUUAUAAUGUCAUUCAAAUGCUCGAUAGAAUGUUUGUAUAUUUAAGAAGUUCGAGAAAUCGAUAAAAGAUGAUAUUGCCCCUAAUGGUACCAUUGAGUCGAUUAAGCCUCGAACUAGUUCAAAUAGAAAUUUAAAGGUGAAAUUAAGAGUUUCACAGUUCAGGGAUGACUCAAAAUGGUAAUUCGGAGUUCGAGGAUCAAUUCAGAGUCAAACCGAAAUUUUCACUAUCUAGGGCAAAAUCGUAAUUUUUCCACUUGCAGACAAAAUUUGAGAUUUUGAGAGAAUUUAGAUCACAUUUGACAAAUUGGAGAAUGGUAUGAGUAUAAGGGAUGAAAAAUAUGUCUAUGGGCAAUUUUUUCAGUUUUUGGGGUAAAAAUGUAAUUUUUCACUUUGUAGGGACAAAAGUGUAAUUUUCAAAAAUUUUCUCCACCAAAACUUUGGAAAAUUCUAGAAAUUUCAUGGAAGACAUAGAUAAGUGAAGAGGAUUGAGUGGUAGAAAAAGAAAGUCAAAAAGAUGGCUAGAAAAAAAUAAAAUAAUAAAAUAUUCAAAAGGUAAAUAAAAUAAUAAUAUUUUAUUAAGCCUAUUAAAAGGCUUGAAAAUUCCAGAAUUCUUCAUUGGGAGGGUCAGCCAAAACCAGCAGGAGAGAGAGAGAAAUAAGAACAAACCCUAGAGUGAGAAAAUUCAAAGAAAAAGUGUGAUUUUUCAAGGAAUCAAGUGUUUAAAGGUAUGAUUUUUCAAGCUUAGCUUAAGAUUUAUCAUUUCCAUGCAUUUCUCCUUAUUUUCCAUGGUUAAAUUAUGUGUUUUGAUGAUGGAUUCAAAUCUGAUCAUAUGGGUUUAGAGAGAGAAAGUUGUUAGAUUAAUUUGAUUUUGAACUAUGUUAGUGUUUAGUGUUAGUUUAGCAUGUUUAUGAGUAAAACAACAAGAAAAAUAUUCAUUUUCUCCAUGAAUUUCUCUAGGCCGAAUCUAGCCAAUGGUGUGUGAGGAUGAGGUUGACUUUAUUUUAAGAGAAUUAGAUGGAAAAAUGAUGAAUUAUGAGGUUGGAAAUUAAAUGGGAAUUUUUGGUGCAAAAAAAUUAAAAUUUUUACCCACUAGGGGUAAAAGCGUAAUUUGUGAUCCGAACUGAUAAAUUGGACCACAUUCACAGUCAUUGAGGUAUUGUGGAUAUAAUUGGAUAAUUGAAAUUGAAAUGGAUGGACUUGGAGUUGAAUUGGAGAUUUUAGAAAUUUACACUGUGUAUAGGCGAGUUAGGUCGGACACUAUGAUUAAGCGAUUGUCCAAACAUUUCACACCCUAUCUAGUGCAUACGCAUGGAUAAGAGCCUGAAAUAAUAUAUAUUGAUUUGACACAAAUUAUUGAAUUUUUUGUGUCAUGUAUUGUGGAUAGGUGGUGAGCUAUCUGAUACGGGUAAAAGACUACACCCGAGGACCGAGAAUAGGAGUAUAUCUACUCCUAGUACAGUGAGUAAACUUACUAUCGUCUUAAUUAUCUAGAGUAGAUUUAUUUAAUUGUGUGAUUUUAUGGAAAAAUGGUUUAAUUGGAAAAUUAUUGUGUUUUAUGGGAAAAUGGGAUUUUAUAAAAUAAUUUUAUAAAAUUUUUGAAAAUUUAAUAAUGAUUUCAAAAAUAGAGUAAUUGGAGACCUAUACUAUGAUUGUGUUGUUUAUCCAUGAUUUUACAUUAAAUGGCUUAUGAUAAAUGUGGGUAUGACUGGUUAUUUUUAUGAUUUAAAGAAUAUGUGAACUGCUUUGAUUUGCCUUGAAUGUGUUAAGUGAGCCAUGUCAUACUAUUGUGAUUUUAUUGGUUGGUGGAUUAUAAAGUGGGCACUGCAGUGACGGGGGUUCCGUGGGCCAGCCUAAUUAGAGGGGCACGGUUCCCAAUUAUUGAGCUUACCUCGAUUGGAGAGGUGCGUAGGAUAACUCCCGAGGUAGGAUUUGAGUACAUUUCACGCUAGCCACCACGUGAAAGUGAGACUCAGCCAAUGUCAAGGAACAGUUGUGUUGUCAGAGGUGAAAUGUAUUUGUGUGUGUGACAAUAAACAGCCUUGGUGGUCUCAGUGGGAUACCUUGACGAAGGUACCCACGAGAAUGAUUAUGGCAGGGGCCAAUUUUGUGAAAUUCAUAAGCCGAGAAAUUUGAUGAAAAGAAAUUGUUUGGUAUAGAUUGAACAAAUUUUGCGUUAUGAACAUUAUUGAGAUACAAUGUUUGGUUUUAGAUUAUUUUGAUGAUGUCUGUCUACUCACUGGGAUUUUAUAAUCUCACCCCUUUUUCCUAUACAUUUUUCAGGCUCAGAAUAGGCAAUAGACUGUCAAUUGCAUCGAGAAGUAAAUUUCGGAGUUGCAUUCUAGAAAGCAAGGUUAUAGACUUAAACCUUCUCAGUUAUUUGAGGGCCCACAUGUCAUUGUAAUUUAAAUUGCAUACUCUAGUUUUCUAUAUUACAGUAUGUAUAAAUUUAUUUUGUUUUUAUGUGCAGAUAAUUAAUUUUUGAUGUUUCAAAUAUAUAUAUAUAUAUAUAUAUAUAUUGUUUUGCAUUAAAAUAUAUUAUUUUAAUUAAUAUUUUUAUUUUAUUUUAUUAUUAAAAAAAAGAGAGAGGAGUGGAAAAACUGAUACAAAAGCCUUGCGAGGUCUCGAAGGGCAUUCGGGGAAAGAAUGUCUGUCGAGGCUUCGCGGCGGUUGUCACGGGCUCGAUGUGAGUUCCGAGUCAUGACAAUUAGGUACCAAGAAUAACCAAUACAACCGCAACUGCAAGCAUAUGUAGGGGAAACACAGCUAUAGUUCAGUCAACUAACAAAGAUCCCAAAGGUUACAGUAGUAGAUUUGCUAGCAAUGGAACCAAAAAACAUUAUGGUAAGAUUUUGCUUUUAUACUUCUGCAAUAUUAAUACGAACUACCAUUUACCCAUUUCUAACUAACCAAGAAUGUAACUACUAAUGAUAUAGACAUAACAUUAUUUUUAUGCUUAACACAACACCAAGUUUGAGGUAACAACUACCAUUAUGAAUGUAAAUGCACCAAAUGGAUGGUAUUACAACGCUUGCAACCAAUGUGCAGCAAGUUUACGAUUUUCUGCUGGAAAAUUUUGGCACCUAGUAUAUGAUGAAAAAACACCAAUUUUGAUGUAAGUAUACUAAAAUUCACUUGUUAUCAAACUUAACAACAAGUACACUAUUGUACAAGGUAACUCUAAUAAAAACUUUAUAAACUUCCUAUAGAAUGAUUUUGGAACUAACAGUAGAGGAUUCAAUAGGUAGAAUUCAACUACUAGCAUUUGGUCAACAAGCAAAAAAAUUAAUUGGAGCCACCAUUGUUGAGCUAGCUGUAAUUCGAAUGAUAGACCAAAUGACUCUUCCAACCCUAUCAAAGCAUUGACAAACACUAAAAGAAUAUUAAGGGUAGGACUGAUAGGAAAAGCCAUUGAUUAUAGAUUUGUUGGGAUGAGCCUUAUAGCCAAUUGUGAUUGGUUAAGGCUUGAUUCCAAUCAUGCAACAAUAUCAUUUAUGUUGAAUGAUUAGAGGUUUUUCUUAAUCAAUAAGAUAUUAAUUAUAAUGAGUUAUAAGUCUAAUUGGAUGAAGUCCAUGAGAUUAAUAUGACUUGCAAGGGAACUGUAAUAGGUUGCAGUUAGGAAAUGCCUAUGCAUCAAAGCGUAAUCUCUAAAUGUUCCUGGUCGAUAUAGUAUUUAGACUAGACAUCAAUGAUGCUUAGAAAUUGAUACAUUAUAUGUUUCUUACUUGGGAGGUUAACAAUCGAUCUCAUAGGUUAAAGUGUAGAGAUACUUGGAAUUAGAAUGUAGGUGCUUGCCUAAGAGAGCAAGUUCACUAAACAUGACCCAUCAUAAGAAGUGCAUUUGGUAUUUCACUUAAGUGCCUAUACAAUAUUUCUCAUGUGUCAGUUGUGUAAAUACUCCCUAUACUUGAGACACUAGAUUGUCUUAUGUGUGGAGUACUAUGCUUUUAUUCAUCCCUAUAGGUGGCUAAUUAAAGAUGCCAAAAUAUGAUGCUUUUGGGUAUAGCAUGAAGCAUGCAAAGGCGAAUGAGUGGUCAAGAAAGAAUCAUCACUUCUAGUGAUUUAGGGGACAUAUCCUAACAGUUUUUGGUUAAUUUUAACUUGUUGAAGUUCUUGGCCAAGGCGACUUAGAGAUUAUGAAAAGAGUUUCAUAAGUAUCUAUAAAGCUAAUGAUCUAACUGUAGGAACGAAUAUGGAGGUUAAUAAGACUAGAUAUUGCAUCAUACUCAUAUCAUCUUCGGGAUAUAUGAUGAGAGAAUGAAUUACAUUGAUAGAUUGUACAUUAAAAGGUUGUCAAAGAACCCUUUGAUUCUCCUAACAAGUGGGUGGCCAUAAUGCAUUGCUAGAUGCCAAUUUUUCUCUAUGGAAUUGAAUUAAUUAAUUUCAAAAAAAUUAUAAUUCAAUUCCAUUGCCAACAUGUUAGUAACUUAAUGGGUCACAUACAAUAAGUUGCAUUAUGAAUUAAAUUGGAAGUGUGAUGAUUUAAGUUGGACUUAAAUCAUAAACUAAGUUUUUAACUUUUAAGGACUUAAUUAAAAUAAUUUAAUUAAGUAUAAGGCCAAUACUAUAGGUAGUUAUAAUAUUAAAGCCUUAAUUGCAAACAAAUAAAGUAAAUUAAGUUUAAUUUUAAUUUACAAUAACUUAAUUAAAAGGUUUAAUUAAGUGUUGGGCCAAUAGUAUAAGGGUCAUAAUAUUGAAGCCUUAUUUGCAAUUGAAGAAGUUAAUUAACUUAGAUAUAAAUAUCACUUUUUAGCUACUCCUCAUAAUAGAAGUGAAACACAGAAGUUAGGUUUUUGAGUUGUUAGAAAACUAACAAGAAAGCCUAGCCACACAUUUUCUUGAGCUACUUGAAAAAUAGUUUCCAACUUUGUGAUUCGGCUAGGACAAGUGUGAUUGUGUGGAGAGGACAAGUUGUUGUCCACCUUGAUAGCACAAAGGCAUAGUUGAGAAAGCUCCUUCCUUGUGAAGGUUCAAGUGCAACCGUGUGUGCAACCGCUGGAAGCCUGGCAUUUGAAUGGCUUAGGUUCUUUGCUCUCUUUGUAGUGUUCAUGGGUUGGACAAGGAAGAGGUACCAUCGUGAUAGCCACAUCACUUGGUAAAGAUAAUGCUAUUUUUCUGAUUACUUCCUUUUUAGGUUUGUUUGUACUAAAACCACCAAGGUAAUCCAUGGGUGGCGGCAUGGCAUGGUACGUUUAAAUUUUUAUUUUUUGUUCCAUAUGAUAAUUGUUAUUUCUGAGUUUCAUGCUAUUCCAGUAGUGGUAUCAGAGCCUCCCUUGGCUCGUUUUAAUACAAAUGAUGUCUCAUUGUUGUUAAUUCAAUGUUUAUAUUUGAUAUUAGGUGUUAGGGUUUAAGCUGGUAAGGUUUUAAAUCUAUUUUGGAGUUGUUUUAAUUUUCUAGACAAAUUUAAUUAGUAAUUUUAAAUCUUAAUUUUGGAUAUAUUAAUAUGAGUUUUAACAUCUUGAUUCGGAUAGAUUAAGAAGUGCAUAAGAUGGACAAAUUAAAUUUGCAAAAUCAGAUUCAAGUUCAUGAUGCAUUGGUGUAAUUUAAGGGGCAAAAUUCGAUUUUGUCCAGCAGUUGUUGUGGUUCUGUUUUCAGUAUUAAAAAGGCAUCUAAUGGCCUUGAAAAUUUUUGAAAAAAUCAUGGAAGCAAUUUACUUUGGAAUAAUUCCAAGUGGGAUUGCCGGUCAAAGGUGAAUGGUGGUGCAAUAGCCACAAAAUCAUGGAUGAAACCGUUGUUGCCCACAACUGUUUCAGGCCAUAAUUUUGACAAAUUUUGGCAACUUAAAAAAAGCUUAAAUUUGUGCAAUUAGCUGCACUUGUUUGCUGAAAUUUUAACUUUUGAAAGAGUUCAAAUAUUGCCAAAAUUAUAAGUUCAAAUUCAAGGGAUUUGAUCCCUAGGAUUUUGGCAUUGUCAAUGCCACCUAAGUAGCUGAAAAUGUGACUGUGUGCAACAGGCAUAGGUUACGUUUUUUGAAUUUUUGGUAGUUUAUUUUCAUUCAAAAAUUAUGAAAAAUUAAUAUGGAAAGACUCCAUAUGUUAGCUAACGAUGAAAAAAACUGGGGAUUAAAUUCCUUGAUUUGGAGCCGCUUUAGAGCAUAGAACUAUAACUGCACCAUUGCUGCCAGCAGCAGCAAAAAGUCACUGUUUUAGGGUGAUUUGACCAAUCAAUUUGCAUAAAAAAAUUGUGAAAAUUUGCUAAUGAAUAGUUCAAUAUGUUGGCUAAUCAAAAAAAAAUUUUGGAAUUAAAAUUCCUAAAUUUAAGGCCUUACAAAAACCAAAAAUUGUGAUUGCACCAAUGCAACCUGCGGCUGACUAAUGCCACUGUUUUGGCAUUGAUUAUUAGCCUAAAUUUCAUCUUUAAUUGGUGCAAUUUAAAUUACAAAUUGGCUAUUUGAAUAUUUAUGGAAAGGUUCGAUAAAAGAUAAUUUUGACAUAAUUAAAAUUAAAGAAUUUGAUUUCUUAAAUAAAGGAUACCAAGAUUUAAUUUAUGACACCCAUAAAUCAUGGAAUUCGAUUCCUAAAGUUGUGGGAGUCAAUAAUAUUCAAAAGCUGAUUGGAUAAUUAUGAAAAUAGUUCAAUAAAGAUAAUAAAUUCAGAUAUUUUGAAUCAAGGAAUUUGAUUCCUUAAGUUAAGGAUAUCUGAAAAUUUUUUAUUGAUACCAAAAAUUAAGGAAUUUGAUUCCUACAAUUAUGGAAGUCAAAAUAAAUGAAAGCAAGUCUUUAAUCAUGAAUAAAUUUCCUUUAAUUAAGAAAGGCAAGUCUUAGAUUUGAUCUAAUACCUAAUGAAGAUUUGGUAAUAGAAGACAUAUAAUCUUUAAUUAAAUUGGAUUAGUAAAAAAGUUACCUAAAAUGUUUAGGACAACAAAUUAAAAAUGUUUUACUUCAUAAUAAAAUUUAAUUCUAAUGUAAUAAGAUUAGGAAUGGAUAAAUUACUAAUUUUGAUUAGUAAUACUUACCAUAUAUGAAAGAAGUUUUCAUAUAUAGAAUUAAAUGGUUUCCCAAAAAUUUGAAAUUGGAAAAAUUCAAAUGUUGAAAAUUACUAAUUUCAAAUAUCUCAUAUAAUUAACAAUUUGAAUGAGACAUGUUUUUAAAUUUUACUUAUAUUGAUGAAUAUAUGUGGAUGAUUAUGGACAUAGGCCCAAUAUUAUUAUGCUAUAGUUGAAUGUAUAUUUUUUGUAUUUUUAAAAUAGGGCCUAUGUGUCCUGCCUUAUCUCUUUAUCUCGGUUUAUAAAAUUAUUUCCUUAUCUUACUCCCCUCCAAUGUAACUUGAGGUUUCUACAUUCAAAUGUAAUUAGAAUUAGAAUAGGUUAGGAAUUGAAUUUUGGAAAAAUUGAUUAUGGAGAUCUGAGGCGCCAAAGAGGACAAGGAAAUUACAUGCAGAUUUUGAAGAUUCAUAUGUGUAAUCCCCUAGGUUUGAUCAAGCUAGUUUCCUUUGAUGGCUCAAGGAAAUUAGUAUAGUUAAAAGCCAUAAUCAUCCAAAGUAGUUUACAUGUGAUUGAUUUAUUUUAUGCAAUUUAAUAAAUGCUAUGCAAUGCAAAGUAGUAUGUAUAUGAUAGAUUUAUUUUUUCGAUUUAAUAAAUGCCAUGCAUGCAAAGAUGAGACCUUAAUAGAAUCGAAAACAAAAUCCCUCAUGAUAUAUUGAGUCAUAUGCCACACAUGAGCAAGUUGCCUUCCACUAUAUAGCAAGAUAACCUAACUGCUCUUUUAAUUGAAGACUUGUGAGCACACUUAAAGUCACACUUUUACAUGAGUAUGUUUGAAAUAUUGGUAGGUCUUACUCAACUAGUUUCAUAAAAUCCGAAUGCUUGAAAAUUUUAUUAUUAUGGAAACUAGAGGCAAAGGCUAGGUGAAACAUACAUGAUAUGUUUAGGCAAUGUGUUGUCACCUAACUAAUCUAAGAGUUGUAUAGAGAUACAAUUGGUAAGCCCAAUUACCUACCUAAUCUACCUAUCAUGGUUUGUUGAGCACACCAUGACUAAAUGGAUGGGAUCUUAGCCCACUAAAAGGAUCCUAGUAAAGAUCUCUCAAGGUGAUAUGGAGGGUUAUCAUCUUGUAGAAAAUAGUGGGAUAACUAUUUAAAAUUUUAAAACCUUGUUUAUCAAUUGCUUUAUCUAUUCAAACAUGUUUGUAUACAUUGCAAACAGAUAAAAAUCUAUCAAUAUGUUGCAUCUUAGAUGCAAAUCAAACUCACUAGACCAAACCCUUUUGAAAGGUACCUUGACUUAAAAAAUGUUCUUAAGCAAAAGGUUGUCUAUCUAUAGGAAGCUUUGCCAUAAACCUAUGUUGAGGCAAAUGGUGAUAAAGCAUAGGAUGCUCAUUAGACUUGUUAAGCCACAUAUGUGAUGUUAGCUAUUAUGACUACAAAGCUUCAAAUGCAACAUGGAAACAUCUGUGCAACAUGAUAUGACUUUGUAAUCAAAAAAAUUGUUUUAUAGUCAAGGUCAUACAUAAAGGUAUGAGAUAACAUAGAAAUUGUUUUUAUGUGAGAAGAUAGAAGAUAGUUCUAUUAGUAGCAAGAUUUAAGGUUGCUAGGUUUUAUGGUAAAGCUAGAGAAAUGUGUUUAUCUUGAACUAAGUAUAGACUACGUUCCAUAAUCUCUACCAAAUACAAUUCAUAAUUAAGAGUGAGUUUUCAUGAGAUGGAAUUUACAUUGCCUUAAUUAUGAAUUGGGAAGACAACCAUGAUAAGGGCACUAACUUGAAAAUGUUCUCAAACAUUUUUAUGGUAAAGAUAGACAAAGGAGAAACUGAAAAAAAUGUUUCCUUGACAAAGUUAAAAAUGAAAAAGCUUAUAGAAGCUUCUACUUUGCCAAAGUUUGUGAUUGAGCUAGAAGUUACUACUGUUGUAUUAACAUCAUAAGUAUUCAAUACUCUCACAAAGGAUCUUGGAUUUAGUGAGAGCAUGAUAACAUUAAGAAAGGAGUUUCUUUAGUAUUACAUGGUUACGUUGGAAUCUAACCCUUAAGAUUUUGUAUAAAGAUGCAUAAUCAUAUGUAUGCGAACUCGAUGGAUUUAGUAGGAUACAUUGGAGAUGUGUUAUUCAUAUGAGAUGAAUCUAUUAAAUAUGUUUUUUUGUUAAAGUUAUACAUUUUGUUUUAUUAAAUGGGAUCUAAAAAGUUGGAUUUAAUAGAAUGUAUAAGUGUACUUAUCUCAUACACAUGAAGAGGUUAGUAAGAGUGAAUACAAUUUUUUGGCGAUACAAUUACAUGGGAUGUAAUGUGUAUACAAAGAAAGUGUCAAAAUUUAAAAAGGGUAGAUGGCACAAUGAAAAGUGACCAAUGCAUAUGAUACAUACAGCAUAGUUUAGUUGAAAUGGUUUCAAAGAAAGAAAGAAGACUAUGCACAUGUAUAUAAUCAAAGUCAAAUAGAACCUAUUGAAGGCUCAAAUAGGAAGAUAUUUGAUCAUUAGUUCACAGAACUAAUAUAGGGUUCUAAACAUUGUGAAUGUAACAAUGAAGCCAUACUAAGAGAACCCAAGUCUCAUUAAAUCUAGAUAUAGUGAUAUGACAUGAUGUGAUGCAUGGACAUCACGAAGGUAGAUAAAAGCAAUUAACCACAUAGAAGGGCACAAACGAGUCUACAUGGAGACACGAUUGCUAAAUGCAUUGGAUCCAUAUACAAUGAGGUAGCAAUUGGCUUUGUGCUAGUGGGAGAUGUUGGGAUGAGCGUUGUAGCCAAUUGGAAUUGGUUAAGACUUGAUUCCAAUCAUGCAACAAUAUCAUUCAUGUUGAAUGAUUAGAGGUUUUCCUUCAUCAAUAAAAUGUUAAUUAUAAUGCGUUAUAAGUCUAAUUGGAUGAAGUCCAUGAGAUUAAUAUGCCUUGCAAUGGAAUUGUAAUAAGUUGCAGUUGUGAGAUCCCUAUGCAUCAAAGUGUAAUCUCUAAAUGUUUUUGGUCGAUGCAUCAUUGAGACUAGAUAUCAAUGAUGCCUAGAGACUGGUACAUUUUAUAUUUCUUACUUGAGAAGUAACCAAUCGAUCUCAUAGGUUUAAGUAUAGAGAUACUUGACACUAGAAUCCAGGUGCUUACCUAGAAGAGCAAGUUCACUAAAUAUGAUCCACCAUGAGAAGUGCAUUUGGUAUUUUACUUAUGUGCCUAUGCAAUACUUCUCAUGUGUCAAUUGUGUAAAUACUCCCUAGACUUGAGACACUAGGUUGUCUUAUGUGUGGAGUGCUAUAUUUUGAUUUCAUCUCUAUGGGUGCCUAACCAAAGAUGUCAAAACAGGAUGCUUUUAGGUAUAACAUGAAGCAUGUGAAGGCAAAUGAGUGGUCAAGAAACGAAUCACCAUCUCAAAUAAUUUGGGAGACAUAUCCUAAUAGUUCUUGGCUGAUAUUAACUUGUUGAAGUCCUUGGCCAAGGCGACUAGGAGAUUAUGAAAAAAGUUUUAUAAGUCUUUAUAAAGCUAAUGAUCUAACUGCAGAAACGAAUAUGGAGGUCAAUAAGAGUAGACAUUGCACAUUGCUCUUAUUAUCUUCAGGAUAUAUGAUGAGAGAAUAAAUUAUACUGACAUAUUGUACACUGAAAGGUUGUCAAAGAACCCUUUGACUCUCCUAACAAUUGGAUGGCUAUGAUGCAUUGCUAUAUGCCAAUCUUAGUCUAUGGAAUUAUAUUAAUUAAUUUAAUAAAAAUUAUAAUUCAAUUCCAUUGCCUACAUGUUAGUACCUAAUGGGUCACACACAAUAAGUUGUGUUAUAAAUUAAAUUGGGAGUGUGAUGAUUUAAGUUAAAUUUAAAUCAUUCAUUAGGUUUUUAACUUCUAAGGGCUUGAUUAAAAUAGUUUAAUUAAGUAUAAGGCCACUAUUAUAAUUAGUUAUAAUAUUAAAGCCUUAAUCACAAACAAAUAAAAGUAAAUUAAAUUUAAUUUUAAUUUAUAAUGACUUAAUUAAAAGGUUUAAUUAAGUGUUGGGCCAAUAAUAUAAGGGGUAAUAAUAUUGAAACCUUAUUUGCAAUUUAAGAAGUUAAUCAACCUGAAUAUAAAUAUCACUUUUUAGUUACUCCUCAUAAUAGAAGUGAAACAUAGAGGUUAGACUUUUGGGUUGUCAGAAAACUAACCAGAAAGCCUAACCCCACACUUUCUUAAGUGACUUGAAAAAUAGUUUUCUAACUUUGUGAUUCGGCUAGGAGGAGUGUAAUUGUGUGGAGAGGACAAGUUGUUAUCCACUUUGUUAGCACAAAGGCGUAGUUGAGAAAGCUCUCUCCUUGUGAAGGUUCAAAUGCAACUGUGUGUGUAAUCGUUGGAAGCUAAGCAUUUGAAUAGCUUAGGCUCUCUGCUCCCUUUGUGGUGUUAAUGGGUUGGACAAGGAGGAGGUACCAUCGUGAUAGCCACAUCACUUGGUAAAGGUAAUAUUAUUUUUCUGAUUACUUCUCUUCUAGUUUUGUUUUGUAUUAAAACUAUCAAAAUGAUCCAUGGGUGGUGACAUGGCAUGGUAUGUUUAAAUUUUUAUUUUCCGCUGCAUAUAAUAAUUGCUGUCUUUGAGUUUCAUGUCAUUCCAUACCAUUCCAAUAGGGUUGACAGUGUUCAAGAUUUUUGACUAUAACAUUGUAAAAAAGACUUUGGUUGGAAGUUCCAGAUUGGAAAAAGAUACCAGUUUAACAAGCCAAGAACCCAAACCCCUUGAAACCUUACUAUUGACUAUCCGACAGACCUAGAUGUAAGUGCCACCAUCUCUAACAAAUGCACAAGUGACAAAGGUACUGUUUCUAGAACAGUCACCAGGAAAAAAGAUCAAAACUGAAUGGAUAAAUUAUACAAGAAACUGGCAAGGAGGGUAGACAUGCCAAGAAAGAUUUAUGCAAAACAGACCAGGUAACUUUUAUCAUAGAUGGAGCAUGUUUUUUUAACUCCAUACUAUUACAAUAUCUAUGAUAAAAAUAAGUACACAAAAAGAACAAGAAUGUCAUUUUGUACAGGACAACUAAUUGCCAUAUUGUUCUGACCAUUCAAACAGUAUCUUUUUGGAACUUGAUUGUAUAGAGAACGUAUGGCUGCCUAGGUGGAGGCUGUUUUUUAAUCUUUAUGUUAGUCUCAUUCUGUAAAUCAAUGGUCCUAUAAAACAGGUUAAUUGUAUAGACAACAUAUGCAGGACUAUGUGGAAGAUGUGUUUGGAGCUCCGUUUUAAACACAGCUAUUGAUGAAUGCUUUUGUACAACACUCUAAUAUAUGUACAACGUUUAUAACCGUGAAUGAUCAAAUGUUGGUCUGUAUUGAAGAUAUAUUAAAUAUUACUGCUUGUUAUUUUGAUUGUUUGCUCAUGAUGUGCCGGUUGAUUCAUUUACCGUUCUCUUUCCAGGCACCUGAUACAGCUUUAUAAUUAUUUUACUUAUUACAUGGUUCAAUUUCUGAAUAGAUAUUCAAGUUAUUCUGUUAUUAUUUAUUGUAUAAACUUUUGUGAGGGAAGUCCUUGGUAUGUAAUGUUCAUUCGGUUGUGUAAACACUAUCAUUCUCGACAGUGGUUUUCAUGAUGAUACAUGCAAACAACAUCUAUUAUCCUGUCUUUUAUUUGUUUAUUACUGGACAGCUAAAAUAAUAGUGUCUCAAAACAGUAGCAUUAUAUAACCAUUUUUCCAUUUAUUUGGCUAUUUCUAUUUAUCAAUAUUAUUCUACCAUUUGUAAAUAUUAUAAUAUGUUUACGAAUAAAUCUUACAAUCUUCUUUUUAUUAUUUAAAUCAUUUUCAUCAAUUAAAUAACCCGUAACAAUGCACGGGGCUUGUACUUAGUAUAUAUAAAAGUAAACCAAGAUAUACAUUACCUCAUUUUCAUUAAGGUUGGAAGAUGGAUUUAUAGACUAGAAUUCUUUGAAUUGAUCAACAAGCAAAAUGUUGCUGCAAAAUAAUUGUACCAUCAGCUGAUACAUUCCCGACAAAAACAAGAAUAUAAAGAACAGAGGGUCACGUGUGUGUGCAUUUGGGCAUUUUGGAACUUUCCUAAUCCCUCUUUUUCUAAAAAAAAAAAGGGAAAAUUUCAAACUUGAAUUGAUUUUUUGUACUUCCAAUUUCCAUUGAUCAUGAAUAAUUUUUUUUACAAGAAGGCAAAAAUCUUGAAUUAAAAUGAAAAUUCAAUAACGAAAUUGGAGACUGACGUACAAGCAGUGGCAAAGCCAUGAUUUUACGUUUGAGGGAGCGAAAAUUAAAAACAAUGUUUAUAAAUUAAACAGUUAUACUAGAAACUCAAUGUUUGACAAUAAUAUAAAACAAUUUAGACAAAAAAAAAGUUCAUAUGAAAAUUAUAUAAAUAAAUUCUGAAAGUUAUUCAAAAGAAUAAAUCUUAAUAAUUUACUUAAAAGAAUUAAUUAGUAUAAUCAUAAAUGAUUUAAUAAUGACAAUAAUGUCAAUUUCUAGAUAAACUUAACAACAAACAAAAAUUAACAAAUAUAAUAACAAAAAUCUCAAUGGGAAGCAAUCCCUUAAAAAAUAUUAAGGACUAUCAAUAAACAAUUCAAUGGAGAGGUAAUUCUCUAAAAUUAAUCACAAAAAUUAAAUACAAUAUUAAUAAACAAUUUAAUGAGGAAGCAAUCCCCGAACAAAAAGUUUAAUUGUUCACAAAAAUCUAAGCAAAAAAAUAAAAAACAUAACUAAUUUGUAGGAAAACAAUCAAGCAGUCCCUAAAUAAAUAAGUAACAACUAACCUUUAGUGCUUAAUCAAAUUGCUUUCAACAACAAAUAGUUAAGACGGUAAAUCUUUAAUCAAACUCAUCAAGUAAAAAUUAUUAAAUAAAGAAAAAAAUUUAAAGUUGAAAAUGUCAAAAAUAAAAUAAGUAAAUAAAUCAAUUUUUCUAAUUAUUAUGACAUGAAAAUUAAGUAAUUGAUUAAAAGAUUUCUACAUAGAGAAUGUUGACAAGAAAAAAAGUAUAAUUUUUUUUUUGUUUCUAUAAUAUUUGGUAAAAAGAAAAGAGAGCAAGUGGUGGUUGUGAGGUUUUUGAGAAGUUGAGUUUGAAAAUAAUUCUAUUACAAUUAGUUUUAUUUUUAUUUUUUGAAAAAUGUAAUUGGCUUUGUUUUAAUUUGAUUAAAAUUAGUUAUUGACUAAUUGUUGUGCUAUAUUUCACUAAAUUAAAAAUUAUUGUAGGGUAAAAUUAUAAAAUUUUAAAAAAAUAAAAAGAAGUUAGAAAAAUUUUAAAAUUUUUAUAGGGUCGAAAUUAUAAAAUUUUUUAAAAACACAGGUAAACUAUAAAAUUUAAAAAUGAUUGAAAAGAUGAAAUUAUAAAAUUUUUAAAUAUAUAUAUAAAUUAUGAAAAUUUAAAAAUUAUUGGCCCCGCUAGCCGCCUUCCCCUCCGCCUCUGUCAGUACAAGAAAGGGUAUCUCUAGGAAAUGUAGUAAAGUGUAGAAAGAGAACUAUGUAUAGUCCUUUUUGUUUUUGUUGAUUCUUGGUAGCAUGCCUUGUGUUGGGACUGGUAUGUUAGGGCAGUGUGUGUACCGAGGAGGUGCUGUGCAAUUUUUCUGCUGACAUCAACAUGGUCGGCUACAGUGAUUUUUAGGAGUAUGCUCAGAACAUUGUACAUGGUUAUAAACCUAAAAAUUACGUACUACUUUUGUACCAUGUGACCUGGGGUGAGUUUUCAUUACUGAAAAGGAAAUAUAUUUCUUUAGAAGUUGAGGUAGAUGAGGAUCUGUUCGUAGCGUAGUCUAUGGACGUAAAUUGCUUCUCUUAUAUAUUUCUUAUAACAGAAAAGGAAAUAUAAAGGAUCAACAAAACCAAUGUAGAAGCUAAAUGUGAAAAACUUGUCUAUGAUUUCAUCCAUUCAAUGAAGUUCUUGAAAAUCCUGUCAGAGCUACCACCUUCAUUGGCACUACUUAUAACCAAUUCUUUUAGUUUAAGAGUUCUUGCUCUGAAGCUUUCAUCACCUAGCAACAGCUCCACUUUGCUCCUAAUUUCUUCUCUUGUAAUGGUCUCUCCUUCAUCUCUUGUAAAAUUUACGCCAAUUUUCCAAAUGCCACAAAUGUAGCUCUCAUUAACAAACUGGUCAGCAAAGUAUGGCCAACACAGAAAAGGGACCCCAUUGCUUACGCCUUCAACGGUGGAAUUCCAACCGCAAUGGCUUAAGAAGCAAGCAACAGAAGGAUGAGCCAGAACCGCACGUUGGGGUGCCCAGCCCACCAUCCUUCCUCUGUUGGCUACUCUUUCCUUGAAUCCUUCGGGGUAAAGAUCAUCCGAUUCACUCCCCUCAGUGAUAUCUGGUCUGACAACCCAGAGAAAGGGCCUGUUUGAGAGUUCCAGGCCCAGAGCCAAUUCUUGGAAUUGGAUUGGAUCAAAAACCGUGAAGCUGCCAAAUGCCACAUAAAUAACCGAACCCGGUGCCUGUUGAUCAAGCCACUUCAAACAAGUUGCAUCCUCUGGCCAGAAACUUCCUGCCAAGGCUCCAAGCUGGUUGGUUGAUGAAACUGGGCCUAUGGGCAGGAUCUCUGGAACUAAGCUAAGUGCUUCAGGCUCCAGGUCAUAAGUUGUGUUGCAAAUUAGCCGCUCUGCUUUUGCAAUAGCUUUAUUGUUUCUCUCGGCAUAUUCAAAAAUAGUUUUUUGUGUGUUGAAGUCACCGAGACAGACCCACAGAAAAUUCUUUGGGUGCAUGGCAGGUGUGUUUGGGGACAACUGAAUCAUCUUUUCUUUAUUGAUUGGAGUACCUGCAAACCAAAUUUCAACAACUGUUAAACAAUAUCAGGGCAUAUUUUAAUGCUCCUUUCUUGUUCCUGCUUACGAUUGAAUUUCAAAUUAAUUAUAAAGUAGUAAUAUUUGUCCUCCAAGUUUGAGGCAAAAUUCUAUUCAUGAAGGUCUGAUAGUUAGUAAUAAUUAUUUGCUGUUAUUUAGACGUGCUGCGGUUGGACUCAAUACCAUGUUCAUCAAUAACUUCAUCAUCAAGCAACUUCUUGGUGCUAAAAAGCAAGUUCAAUACAAGGGCAGAUGCGGGCCAGAAAGCAGCUCCAGGGAUUCCCAUCUCUGCUGCAACUUCAAGUGCCCAUCCCAUGUUGACAUCAGCUAUAACAUGAGUGAUCUUAUCAUCUUCUAAUCUAUCAAUUUUCUGUAUGAGCUCCUUCAGCUCCCCGGGCAUGACUUGGCUCAGUCCAUCCGUUAACUUCCCUAAAAGAUUCCUGUUCUCGCCAACUUCCAUCCCGUCCGGGAUUGAAACUAGACGAAUUGGCCCUUCUGGAUCAACCUUAUUGGCAAACGCAUCCAUGACUCUCUGGUGAUUAAAAUCUGAGUUGACAAAUGUGAUUUGGAAGCCAUGUUUGGCCAAGCUGUGAGACAGCUCCAUAAGAGGAAUGACAUGGCCUUGUGCUGGAUAAGGUAUUGCCAGAAUAUGUAGAUUUCCCAUUUACACUAAUAAUUCUCUCUAUAUGUUUUACAGACUUUAGCUUAUGUUCGUUUUAUAGAGAGAUUCUCGUGAUCCCCAAGGACCCCUUGUGCAAUGUUAGUUCAUGUCUUCACCUGCUGGAUGUUCUCUAGGUUUGGGGAAAUAAGAUUCUUGUUUAAAAUCGAACAUAUUAGUGAUUGUCCUUUAAUUUUCAGUUGUUGCUAUGAUUUGGUGCUUCUGGUUGGUAUUCACCGUCCACUAUUUUGGCUGAACCAGCUGGGUGAAAACUUAGUGCUAUUUCUAGUCUUCACAAUAUUAUUUUAUAAGCUUAGCUCUGGGGAUUUGCUGUGAAUUUUCUGGAAUCUUAUAAACGCUAGGGACAUCAUAAUCUAAUUUUUAUUUCAGAUGUGAAACUUUUGUAAAUGGUUAGCAGGCAAUGGGACAAAGAUAAUUAUUAUAUAAAUGAAAAAUCCUCAGAGUUCGGGAUGACACAAUUGGCAAAGUUUGGCGAAAGAAUUGAUGUAUAAACAGGCAACCCUUUGCAUAAGGGUUGAUGUGAUCCCUCGUGACAGAAAUCCAUAUUUAAGGUACUAGUCACAAGAAAGUAAAAAGAAGAAUAAGAUAUACAUCCUCUUGGUUUUUUAUGUUCUUAUAUUGGAGAUAUAUCCAUGAGCAUAUAUAGGUUAGAGAAUUUAAGGAUUAUUUUUGCAUAAUUGUAUGCAACUUUGGACACAUUUUUUUAAAAAAGAAUGGUUAAGUCUAACACAGAAUCGAUAAUGUCAUGAUCAUAUUCUUCUAUCUGUCAUGGUUGUGCUAAUUAGAGCACAAGAAAGGAUUAUUGUCAAUUUAGAUGGAUGCUUGCAGGUUAAAACUAAGGGGAUUUUUUUUUUAGCCCUUAUAAAUAACGUGUUUUGGUAAAUAACUGUCAAGAUACUUUUAACUGUUUUUAGCCAACAGAAAAGAUUUUGGGACAAAAAUGCCCUUAAUGAGCAGUCUUCAUUAGCGUACACUCUCAAACAGGCGAAAAAUGGGAGAAAAAAAAUAAAUAUGCAAAGAUUGGUUGUGCAAAAUACCCAAAUUUUUUUCCGAAGGUUGUUCAAAACAAAAUAAUGUUGCAUGAGAUGAGUUUUCAGAGAUUUGAGACAUGGCAUUCAGAUAAUAGGAGAAGAGAGAUAUUAAAUCGAACAAGGAACAAGUCGUCAUGAAUGGAAAGCUUGGCUAAUGAUGUGAAACCAGAAAUCCUUGAUACGGUGGUGAAUUCAAAGGAGAAAGAUGUGAAUCCAAAACAGGAAAUGGUCCUGCUAUAGCAGGCCAUAUGUUAGAUGGCUGUCGCAGGGCAAGGUUUAGAGUUUGUGAAACGUCAUGUUGGGAAUGUGUGACACGGCACCGCUCAGAGUUAGUGAGACGCCAUGGAGGAAAUCUGUGAUAUGCCAGAGUUAAGAGUUGGUGACACGCCAUGGUGGGAAUGUGUGACACGGUAGCGUUCAGAGUUGGUGAGACGCCAUGGAGGAAAUCUGUGACAUGCCAGAUUAAGAGUUGGUGACAUGGCAUGGAGGGAAUCUGUGACACGCCAACGUUCAGAGUUGGUGAGACGCCAUGGAGGGAAUCUGUGACACACUAGAGUUCAGAGUUGGUGACACGCCAUGGUCAUGUUUAGAGUGUGUGACAUGACAUUACUUGAAAAGCUGACACGCCAUGGUCAUGGUUUAGAGUGUGUGACAUGGUAGUGCUUGAGUAGUUGACACGUCAUGGUUUGAAAUAGAGAGAGAAAAAAAAAUGGGCAGUUAACGUGGUAAUCAUUUAGACUUCCACUGAAUUAAUUCCCCUUUUUCAAAAUAAAUAAGAAUAUUAGAAGGUCAUUUUUCAUUUUAAACAGUUAUUAUUCAGAAUUCGUAACGUUUGUAUGAUUCAUUUCUCAUUCUCGCCUGUAUCGGAGUGUUCGAGCGAAACUAAACCACAGCACCAGCAAAAAUGUCAGCCAUGAAUGAAGAGGUCAGUGAGUCUCAAAUUCGCAAUAUUCUUGUGUUCGUUAAUUUUUUGGUUUUUUCCUGGGUUUGUUUGAUAUGUUCGGGUUUUUUGUUUUGUUUUACAAAUGUUUAGAUUGCAUUUUCUUGCUGGUUUGAUGGUUGUUGUGGUUAAGCCGUAGUGGUUUUAGCGAUUUUGGGUGUUUACCGUGUGACGCCAUUGUUAUUAUAGUUAGUUAUUAGCGUGUGACAACAUAUUACUUGAUAUGCAUGGCGUGUCACAGUAUUUUACUUUAUAUGUAUGUCGUGUCACAAAAUUUUACUUGUUAUGCAUGAUGUUUGACAGUAUUUUACUUGAUAUGCAUGGCGUGUCAUAACGUUUAACUUGAUAUGCAUGGCGUGUCACAACAUUUAACUUGUUAUGCAUGACGUGUCACAACAUUUUACUUGUUAUGCAUAGUGUGUCACAACAUUUUGAUUGCAAUGCAUGGCGUGUCACAACAUUUAUUCCUUAUUUAUGUCUUCAGUGUACCUUGUUGCACAUGACUGCUUAACUCACUGGUGCAUGUGUGCCAUAUUUUGCAGAUCCAACGUAGAAUGUAUGAGGAUCUUGACAGUUUGCUGAUCGUGCCAAAGGAGAAGUGGGCGUUUAACGUCGCAAUUAACACUCAUUGUAAGUGGUCGCAGUUGCAUUAUACCACAAAGACUCUCCAAUAGAAGGGGGAGUAUGAUCCAGUUAAACGUACCUGCUUCAGAAUGCUCUUGGACGUCUAUCCGCAGGGGUACUUUUGCGUUGGUCUCUUGCAUAGCAUCAUGAUUCGUCGAAUCACUGAGAGGCAGUCAAUGGACCACGAGCUAUGGUUUGCCAUUGGCAAGAGCAAGGCGCGACUAUCAAAGCAGGAGCUCUGCCUUAUGACCGGGCUGAAGUUUGGUCCAAUGCCUGAUGUGUUCAGACGAUCGUACGAGGUUGCUGCGGAUGGAAUUCAUGCAAGAUACUAGAACGAGCAGGACAACGUUAAGCUGCAGGUUUUGCUUGAUACCUUCGGCGGGGAUAACUUUCAGCGACCAGAAGAAGCCACCAAGAUGACACUCGUUUUGCUCGCGAAUAACAUUUUAUGUGGUCAAGACUACCGUAGACGGGUGACGCCUUGGUUACUGUCAUUGGUGGAGGACAUCGACGCUUGGAAUGUCUUCCUAUGGGGGCACUAUGUUUGGAAGCUGACCUUGGACUACCUUUUGAAGGGGUUCGAAGUUCCUGACUUGAGCAUGACAAAGGAAACUCGGUUACGCUACAACAUUUACAGAUUCGCAUAGGUGAUACAGGUACUAAAACGUAACAUUUUUCAGUUUCUUUUCAAACAAAAAAUUUAUGGGUGUAGUCGUUUAUGAUUGACAAUCUGAUAAUGGUUACAUUUGACAUGCAGUUCUGGGCAAUGGAGGAAAUUUCGACCCUCUGAAAAAUAGUUACCCCAUCUGGUCCGAAGGACAACAUCCACCCACGAAUGUGCAGAUGGGAUAGCAACCAGAAGCCAAAAGACUUCUACAAGGCAAUUCAGAAGUUAGAGUCAUCUGACCAAGUGAGUGAACAGUUGCUAAUUUUUGCGUUAUAUUUGUAAAAUAAUUCUCCCUAUUCGAUAAUGACAACAUUUUUUUUGUUUAUUUGCAGUUGUGGGCACUGGAGACAUUGGAACCCACCGCGGAUGAGGCCAUUCGGGAGUAUUUUGUGGACCUUGAUGUCCCGUUAUCGGAGAGCCAUUAGUACGUGCCAAUAGGGCACAUGGAAGAUCUGUCGGAUUAAGGCUUAGGUGCUAGGCCAAAAAGGAGAAGCUUGAAGGAGAAAAGAGCCUCUGGUGGCACGAAGCGGAUGCUCACCGCCAUUGCUUUAGUUGAUGAGUUGAUGGAUGAAAGGGACGACCAUGAUCAAGGCAGUGAAUAGCUGGUAAGGACAAUUGUAACGGUUUUGUGUUCUCCAAUUCCAUUUGUGAUUAUCGAAUAACAUUUCUGUGUUUGCAUUUGGACCAUGGGCCGGCAGCUCCAAAACCACCCACCGGUCCUCCUCAGAUGCAGAGUGGAAAUGACCCGUCGAUAAGAUCGGUUCUAACGAUUUGUGUUCUACUUUCCCACAUAUGUUUAUCGAGUAACACAGUAAUUUAUGUAAUUGCAGUUCACUGAAGCGACGAUAGGUCCUUAAGCACCGAUCGAUCCAACUCAACCGUAGAUAGCUAACGAGCCGGCGGUAAGGAUAUUAAAGUUGUAAUGGUUAAUGUUCAACAAUUCCAAAUAUGAUUAUUGAAUAACAUAGUUAUAUAUGUAAUUACAGUUUGCGGAAGCGACGACAGGUCCUGAAGCACCGAUCUGUUUGGCUCCACCGCAGACAGCUAACGAGCCGGCGGUAAGGAUAAUCAAGUUGUAACAGUUAAUGUUCAACAAUUUUAUACAUGAUUAUUGAAUAACACAGUUAAAUAUGUAAUUGCAGUAUGAGGAAGCGACGACAGGUCUUGAAGCACUGAUCGGUCCAGCUCCACCGCAGAUUGCUAACGAGCCUCCGGUUAGGAUAUUAAAGUUGUAACAGUCAAUGUUUAACAAUUUUCAUAUAUGAUUAUUGAAUAACACAGUUAUAUAUGUUAUUGUAGUUGACCUAGUCGAGAACAGUCAAUGAUAGAGCAAUCACAACCCGCCAGCUCUAACGGAUCAUGCGCAAGCAUAAAAAAGAUAUGUUGGAGCUGAAGGCUUUAAUUCAGUCAUUAAGUGUAGCAAUGCAGACGAUUUAAAACUGUAUCAUUGGUCAGAUUCUUGACAGUCUUAAAUCACAAGUACGUUAUUCUAUCUUCGCUUGUAUUUUGAUGGUUUACGUUUAGCAACUAUUUAGACUGUGUUUUCUUGAUGGUUUUUUUGGUUAAGUGGUAGUGGUUUAAUUGGUUUUUGGUCAUUAGCGGGUCAAGACAUUUGCAUUAUAGUUAGUUAUUGUCGUGUUAGCUUUAGCGUGUCACAACAUUUUACUUGUUAUUCAUGGUGUGUCAGAACGUUUGAUUUUGAUAUGCAUGGCAUGUCAGAACAUUUUGCUUGUUACCCUUGGUGUGUCACCAAGUUUAUCUUGUUAUGCAUGGCGUGUCACAACAUUUUCCUCGUUAUCCUUGGCGUGUCACCAAGUUUAUCUUGUUAUGCAUGACGUGUCACGAUAUUUUACUUGUUUUGCAUGGCGUGUGACAACAUUUUACUUGGUAUGCACUACGUGUCAUAACAUUUUACUAUUUAUGGUUUGUGGUAUUUUACGAGCUAACUAACGAUUUUUUCAAUUUUGUAAGGCGGUCCAUCUCACGGUGUUGGUCUGGAGCAUGAUGAUGCUGAUGAUGGACAGCAUCAUGAACCUGGUGUUGACAUUGACGAUGACGUUUUUGGUGUUGAUGGAGAGCACGUAACUCAUGUAGAUGACGUCGUCGAAGAAGCUGUGGUAGUGGAUGUCACCCUUCAGUCAAAUGAUGCUGAAGGAGAGCAUCUUCCUCCGACCGAUGCAUUUGUCGAUGUAGCAGCAAGAGCUAUCGUUCUUUAUCGUGAGAGCACUCCUGAUGUAGUUGAGAUACGAUCAUCGUCACCAGAGUCAUCUGCUGUCCAUCAUGGUGCAGUAGAAAUUUCAAACCCAACUGAGCGGGCAUGGCUGAAAAUGGUGAGCAACUACAUGGCAAGCCCAUUCGUCGACCCCUUAGUGACCCGUCGAGAUGUGAGUAAUAAAAUCAUAGAAGACUACAAAGCUUUCAAGAAAGAGGAGUCCACGAGGUAAGCUCGUAAAUAAAAUUGCAAAUAUUGUUUUUUAAUGAAACAGUUAUCCACCAAGACUUAAGAAAUUAAUUAUGUUACAUAUGCAGGCGUAACGUCGGCAUCUUAGGGGAUCAAGGGGCUGACUUUUUCAUAACCUUAAAGGAUUUCAAUGAGGAAAUGACAAGUGAACAUAUCGAUGCAUGCCUCAGCCUACUCUGCAAGCGAAUGACAGGGCCGAAGUCAAAGUUGUACACUACCCGUGCAUGCGUGGUUGACACGAUAUUCUUUGUAAGUUUAUUUGAAAAUUAUUCAAUUUUAUAAAUACUAAGUUUUUGAUUGCAUGAAGUGUAAGCUAAUGUUUACAUGUUUCAUAGGACACCAUCCGCAUGCUACACACCGAAUUUCCAACAGAAGAUGCCCAAGCCAAAAUGCAAAUUCUAGAUGAGUUGCGGGGCUAUGUGGAGGGUGAAAGGCCAAUGUACGCCAAAAAAUGGAAAAAUGUUGAUUUCAUCCUCACGCCUUGCAACGUUGGUGGGCAUUGGGUGGUUGCAAAGAUCGACUUGGUAAGGUGGACGAUCAAGGUGGUGGACUCAACAAGAACUUCGAAUGCUAAGGAUAAAGGAGUUUGUGCAGGUCAGAUGACACCCUUGACGACAAUGAUGCCAUUCAUCUGCCACCAAACCGGUUAUUUCAACAACAUACGUCGGAAGAGACGGGAUUUGAUGUCGAUGCCAUUGGAUAUUCAUUUACCAAAAGCUAAAGUGCAUCAGCAAAAUGAUAGUAUCAGCUGCGGUAUGUUCAUGAUAGGGUUCAUUGAGCAUAUUUUGCAAUCAGAAAAGAUCGAAAUUAAGCAGAAUAUGAUUGCAAAAAUGCAUCGGCAAUAUGCUCUGGAAAUUUUUUCAAAUAGUUGUAAGAGCGAACCCUGAACAUAUAGGCCCUUGUCUGUACAAUUUUUUUGGUACACAUAAAUUUUUUUAUAGAAUUCAUUUUAUACACAUUUUUUGUAUACACAAUUUAUUGUAUACAAUUCAUUGUAAACAGAUAUAAUUCUUUCUAUAUACACAAUAAACUUUGUACAAUUAUUUGAUACACAAUUAAUUUUUUUGCCUAUACACAAUUAAUUUGAUACCAAGAAUUUUUUUCCUUUUCUAUAUACAAUAUAUUUAAUUUGAUACACAGUCGCAAAAAGUCAGCAUGUGACACCUUACACAUGAUACCACUCAGCGUGUCCCAACAUACAUCUACUUGCACUCAGCGUGUCACCCUAAAAUCUGCAAUAAGUCAACGUGUGAUGUCGUAAAUCCAUUAACACUCGGCGUGUCAACCGAUAAAUCUGCUUCCACUCAACGUGUCAUAACAAUUGGGUCGUGGCGUGUCACUCCAUAAAUCUCCAAAUACUCAGCGUGUGAUGCCAUUAAUCUGCUUCCAGUCAGCGUAUCAUAAGAAUUGGGUCGUCGUGUGUCACCCCAGGUUGGCAUUAAUUAAUUUCCAAGUUCGUUGUCUUUCUCUUCCAGGCACACCGACUGCACCAACCCAACAUUACAUUGAUUAACAUUGAAUAUAUAGAUUUUUCCAUCCAUCUAAUUGUUUCCAGCAUGAAAUUGUUCUGUAUCCAUCCUCCCUUAUUUUUCCAGUUGUUUCCAGGCCAAAAUUCUAUCCUGCCAUUAUAAAAUAGUACGUCUAAAUUUACACACCAGAACUUGUUAUGCAUGGCGGGUCAGAACAAUUUAAUUGUUAUGCAUGGCGUGUCAUUUCAUUUUUCUUGUUAUGAAUGGCGUGUUACAAUAUUUUAUUUAAUAAGCACAGCGUGUCACAACAUUUUACUUGUUAUGUAUGGCGUGUCUCACAUUUAUUCCUUAUUUAUUUCUUCUGUAUAACUUGUUGCACAUUAUGGCUUAACUCACUAGUGCAUCUGUGCCAUGUUUUGCAGAUCCAACGCAUACAGUAUGAGGAUCUUGACAUUUUGUCUGCUCAGUCAUUCUAUAAGGCCCUUUUAGUUACGAACUUUGUUGCCAAACAUUUCAGGCAGAUAAGCAAAUACAUGGCUCCUGUCUGAUGGAGAUUGUAAUCGAAAACAUUUUUACAAACAAUGUAAGAAUGUACUUAACACGAUCUUGAUCAGACAGAGGCCUUGACAUGCUUAUCUACCUAAAAUGUUUGGCAACAAAGUCCGUAACUAAAAGUGCCUCAUAGAAUGAUCGAGCAAACAAAUCUGUAAAGCAAAACGAAUUCAACUACGAUUUUCAGACACAUUUAGUUAGGCGAUCAGGUUGUCUUCAUUUACAACACACCUUAUAUUUUCAAACAUUGUCCUUCGUAUUGGACAGUUGUUGCGUGUGUGGCCGGUUUGUCUGCAACUUGAACAUGCUUUGGGUCAACGCAGUUAUGGAGUCGUCGAUUGACUUGAAGAUGGUGCCGAAUUUAUGGAUGGAACUGCAAAUAGGGAUGGACAGUUCUAUCUGUUAUGCCCGUACCUCUUGUAUUGCGAACAUCUUCGUGCUCGACUGCCUUCACCAGCUGAUGGAAUCCUUCUCCUCCUAGGUCUUCUUGCUUGGCCUCGCCAAGGUAGGGACAAGAUGACAAUUGGUUUCACAUGAGGGGGGAUGUCCCACUCACUAGGAUGCCUUACUGGCCUAAUGGAUCUUGAAUAACCCUCCAUGAAAACGGUUGUCUUGUAGUAGUCAGCACAGAAUUCAAUGGUUUCAUGAUUGCAUUUAUUGAAAAACACUAAAAACUCAAUCUUCAAGCACAAUUUAAAUGCUAUGUCAAUUAUGGUUCAAAUAAGAAAUAAAGAUAUUCUGACCUUAUUGCUACAAUGGCAUGGCUGCAUGGCAGUAAAUUUGUUUGGAACUCACAACAUGAACACGUCUUCCUGGAUAGCUUUACAAGUUCACCCAUCUUCUCGUCUUUAACUUCAAACUCCACUCGAUUGAUAAGCUUAACUAGAAAGCAAUGUGCAUCAUUGAACCUUUUACUCAACUACCUGGCAACCCAAGGGCUGAGGGGCGUGGUCACCUUGACGGCCUCCUCGUACCGUUCAUGGAACCAAUGCUGGAACAUGUCUCUGAUGAACUCGAUCAAAACAGUGAUCGGCAUUUGUCUUGCAUGCUUCAAGCAUGAGUUAACACAUUCCGCAAUGUUGGAUGUCAUCAUUUAGUAUCGCCUCACCGGUGAACAUGCACAUGCCCAUUUCUCAGGCCCUAUUCUCAUAAGGUCCGCGUGGGCUCCCAGGUGAAUCUGUUAUAUCUGGUUCAUAUGUCUGUUGAAAUCGGCCACCUUAUAGUAAUCUCGAGCAAGGUGAAAAGCAUACAAACAUCGUCGUGCUUGAACUUGUUUUUAAAGUUUUUUUUUUAAGUGGUAACCGCAUAAACCAUGGUGCGCUUCUGGGUAUGCAUUUUGGAUUGCUUUCUUAAUGCCGAGAUGUUGAUCAGAAAUGAACAUAGUGUUUUCAGGACUACCAAUCGCAUCACGCAGCUUGCUAAAAAACCACGUCCACGAGUCUUCGUCCUUAACAUGGCCAAUGCCAAACGCAACUGGAUAUACGCACUCGUUCGCAUCUUUGCAUACAGCGACAAACAGAAUACCUUUGAACUUGCUUUUCAGAUGUGUCGCGUCAAUUGCAACCGUAGGACGCAUUACAUCCCUAAACCCCCGAAUACAAGCCCCGUAUGACCAGAAACAAUAUUUGAAUCUCUCUUCCUCAUCAGUAGCCACUGCAGUCACUGUGCCAGGAUUUUCUUGUUCCAACAUAUAAAAAUACGAUGGUAGUAGUUGAAAUGACUCCUCCAGUGGACCGAAAACAAGCCUCUCCGCAUACUCCUUCGCUUGCCAAGCCUUACCAUACAAGCAUUCCAAUCCCCACUGAACCCUCAUCUCACAAAUUAUGUCCUUAGGUCUCAAUGCUACUCCAUUAGCCCGAAUCUUGUGUGACAUAAGUUCACCAAUCAUCUUCGCACUCGUAGUUGGAAACCGCCCUUGCAAACCAUCAACGGUACAGGUGUGUACUUUGUGGAAUGUCUAAACUUUCCAAUAUUCUCCUCUAUCGGGUGACUUCGUUGCACGAACACUGAACUUGCAUGCCUUGUCCUUGCAACCAACCUCAUAACGACCUUUACAUGACCUUUUUACUCUUAUCGCAAACUUCUCUUUUAUAACCAACAUGUUCAAACCUCGUUUCAACUCGACCUUCGACGAAAACAUUCUUCCUUUGUACAAGCAAUCUUCCGCACAUGUCAACUCCUCAGUGGUAAUUGUUUGGAAGGAGAACCUUUCUUCACCUACAAUUACCCACGUACAAGAUAUCCCUGCAUUUCCCCUUUCCUGAUCACUGUCAUCGAGCAAUGUAUCAAUGGAACGAAUCUCAUUCUCACCAGCGAUGGGGUUAUUAUAUAUGGAGUCAUCACACUGAACAUCUCCUACAUCAACACCUCUAACAAAUUCCGUUUCGCCUUCAACAUUAUUGCAAAUUGGAAUGUCACUGUCAUAAAGGCAGUCAUCGUCUGAACUGUCAUCUUGCGAUUGUUCAAGCCCAUCAUCUGAAGUGUGAUCAAAUCUAUCUUCACCGGCAGCGAACAAAUCCUCAUUUCCCUCAUCAAAUGCAGUAUUAUACUCCAGCGUCGUAAUGUCACCCUCCAACCUCACAUUGUUGUCCUCAAUUGUCGUAUUCUCAUUUGACAAUGGCAUUACACACUCUACAGUUUCACCCGAUCAUUACAUUUGUUCAAGAGAAGGAAGAAAUUAGUUUGAUGCACAUCCUGAUCGAAAUUGUGCAGCCAACUGUUAUGUGAAUGUCGUCUACCUACCGGGCUACACAAACUCUUGUGCAUACCUCAAUUGCCAUUGUUGUGGGUUACGGACCGAAUGCUGUGGUAUAUGUGAAGUAUUGUAAAUCUCAUUUUGAUUGAGCUGAUUACCAUGUUGUCCAACUUCUCCAUGUGACAUAACAUUUGUUUGGCGUCCCUUAAUGCUGACAUACACAGCUAGAACAUUCCUCUGUUCUAGCAAAAUUAAUGCAACAUCCUCAUCGUCCUUGAUAAUUGGCUGUGAUAGUUUUCUGGGUGUACUGAUCAAUGCAUGUAACUCAAUCUCGUCAAUUUUUGCAUUUACCCUAACAAUAUCUUCAACCAGCUUCAUCAAGCCCACAAACGACAAAUCACUCCUAACCCCCCGCAUUCGUAACUCUCCACCCUUGUAAAUGUCAUCCACCCACUGACCAUCGUGUCUUAUCACAAGUCGCACAAUUGGAACUCCACUGAAAUUUUGGAAAAGAAAAUAUUGUCAAUCAUUUUACACAAUACAUGCCGUGAUCAAAAAUUUAUCAGUCGUGUUGUUACACGCCAUGCAUAUCAAGUCAAAUGUCGUGACACGCCAUGCAUCACUGUAAUUACUGACUGGUUACACCAACCUCCGUGACACGCUAAGAACCCAAAAAGUCAGUUAACCCACGACACGCCAGGAACAACCAUGACACACUAAAAACCCAUAAAUUCAGUUAACCCACCACACCCCAGGAAUAGCCGUGAAACGCUAACAACCCAAAUAACUAGUUAGCCCACAACACACCAAUAACAGUCGUGACACGCUAAAAUAACUCUUCACUCAUGUUAUAGAUGCAUGGCGUGUAAUAACUCUGGGCAAUGUUUCUAAUCCAUCUUAUCAUUUACACCAAAUGUUUUAGAAAUUUAAGUGUGUUGCAGAAAUAAACCCAAUAACAGGUACCCUGAUGUCAUCUUUGCUAUAAGGUGUGUUAAUCUAUGACAAUGUGGCCAGAUGCCGAGAGAUAGACCAUAGCCCGAUGACGAUGGUGCUCAACAGAGAGUUGACAGAGCUCAUACAGUUCAGAGAUAUGAGAGAGCUGACAACAAUGGUGCUCAACAAAGACUUGCCAGAGUUGAGACAGAGAAAGAUGACCGAGCCCAAAUAGCUGCUCGCAUUUAUUUUUAAUGUUUUUCAUUUUCUCUUUAGCGGGAGGCAGAUAGCUCAAACAACUGAGCAUUUAUUUGAAACGAUGUUUUUAAGGGCAUUUUGGUCUACUCAUGUUUAUUUUUGGGUAGAAACAGAUAACUUUAUAUGGGCGGUCAUAUAUGAAAUCACCUUAUCACGAAGUCAUUUUCUCACAAUUUCCUCUAAAACUAACAUCACAUGAUGUCACUGAGUUUCCUAACAUAUUAUAAUAAUAAAAUACACUAUACUCUCUUUCACAUUCUAUUAUUAUAAUAAGAUAUUCGUUUGAAUAUCUCAGCAUACUGAUCAAUGUUAAGGCUUGAAAUUAACUUGUUGAGUUUCUCAUAUUAAGACCAUAGGAUUUGUUAAUAUUGUAGACACUGUAAUUCUGCUUAGACAAACAAAAAAGAAACAAAAAUUAAAAAUUAAUUAAUUAAAUAAUUAGAAACAUAAAAAAAGAAAAAGAAGAGACAGAGUACUAGCAGGGCGCGGAAGCACCCUACCAGUACCAACCAAGCACCACUACAGUACCAGACGCAAAAAACUUGCGUCUGGCAAAGGUAGUGGGACGACACCCAUUGAGAGGCCAAAAAUCAAGUAUAAAGGGGAAGGGGCACUGUAGCAGCGAUAGGAGGAUCGGCAACGAAAAACCCUAGAAAAACCUAGCCACCUGCAACUCAAAAAACCCCUAAUCUCUAACAGCCAAAAACCUCAAUCCAGAAAUCAAAAAAUACCAAAAAAUCAAUUGCAAAUACAUAAUGGGAAGGGUUAAGUAAAGGUUUUUUUAAGGAUUUUUUUUAUUUUAGGUAAUUUUUAGAGGGAUUUUGGGGUUUGUGUGCGGCUGUUUUGGAAGGAGUUUGAGUUUUUUGAGUGAGCAUGGGUUGCCGUCGAUCGAUCUAGAGAGAAAAAGAGAGAGAGAGGGCUUUUGGGUUACCGUCGACCGAUCUAGAGAGAGAAAGAGGGUUCUUGGGUUGGUCGACCGAUCUAGGGAGCGAAAAGGCUUUGGGUUCGACAUCGAUCGGUCAGAGUAGGAGUUCCCUACCGCCUAUUAGAGGAGGUUAGAGUAGGAGGUCUUGUGCACUACCGUCGAGAUAGAGUUGCUGGAAUGGCUUUGGCAACUUUAAACAGCGAAAAGAGGUCCGGUCUUGGCUACCGCUAGUGAAGGAAGGAAACCCGAUUGGCUGGCACAAAGGAAGAAAGAGAGAAAAACUCGAUAUGCUGGCACAAAGGAUAGAAAGAGAAACUCGAUCGGCGGGCACAAAGGGAGAGAGAGAGAGAAACCCGAUCGGUUGGCACAAAAGGAGAAAGAGAGAGGGCCGGUCAUUUGAGAUAGUUGGCAAAGGGGAAGACACGGUCGGUAACGGUGAGUGGUGGGAGAGUGAAGAAGAGAGGAGAUAGAGAGGAAAGGAAGUAGCCGACCAUUAGAGAGAAAAGGAAGAAAAAGUGAAAAAGUAGAAAAGAGGUUCAAAGAGUCAUAAAACGACAUUGUUUUGAUUUUGCCAAGCCUCCCCUUCCAUCGCCAAACGACGUCGUUUUGCUGUUUAGGAGUUGUAACACCAAACCCCAAAUAGUCCCACUCCGAGGCGGGCUACGUCCGGCAAUAGUCUGGGCUAAUCAAGCCCGAUCAGGUAAAAAGCCUUAUUCCUUUUCUUGAUUAAUGAUGGAUUGGUUGUCAUGUGGGCUAGCCCACUUCUUUGUUUAUUAAGCUUUAUGUUUAGUAAAUUUAAAUGGCUUGAGCAUGAUAUUUAGAAUCCUUUUGACAAUAUUUUAGAGGAUUUAAAUUGACAAAAAUGUGGAACAAUAAUAGUAGAAGGUAAUAAAAAGUUUAAUUAUUUUUUUUUAAAAUCACCACAAUAAAUCCUUUGUUUUAGGACAAAUAUUAAUAGUUUUGAUAGUAUAUUAAUUGAACCUGAAGGUACCAUACUAUUAACUAUGGAAAGAAUACAAAAUCGUACCGAUGAUGGGAUGAUUGGUCUGGACGCUAGGAGUCGCAAUCCCGGGCUAAUUUUCUUUAGGUUCAGAAUCUGAAUUAAGGCUUCGCCAGUAUGAUGGGAAGGCCUCGAUUUUGAGAUUUCAAGAUUUUUAUUUUAAAUAAACAAAAUUUUUACUACAUAAAAAUUAGUUGAAAAAUAAUAAAAUAAAAAUGCAUAAAAAUAUAUGUUAUAUUUAAUUUGUUCAAAAAAUAAAAUAAGAAUAAAAAAUAAUUAAUUUCACAAACAUAACAUAUAUUUCUGUUGCAUCAUGCAUAUCAUUGCACAUAGAUAUUUUUGUUUACGAGUUAAGUCUCGAUGAUGGGAUUUUUUGAAGAUCUUGCGAAUGUGAGUUUUUCUCGGAAAGCUCCCUAGGUGAAAGGAUGUCCCCGAGUCCCACCAGUAUGAUGGGAGGGCUCGAGAAACAUCUUUAAUUAAAAGGCUUUUGCUCGUAAUAGGUUCAUAUUCACGAAAACAUUAUUUUUAAAGAAAAACGUACGAUAACUACGAUGAUGGGAUUUAUUUGUUGAAUUUACGAAGGUGAAUUUCGCAUAUAAUUCCUUGGGUGAUAGAACACCCCGGAUCCCACCAGUAUGAUGGGCGGAUUCGAGAGAACAUCCUCGAUGAAAGGUUAUUCGUCCGAUAUUUUUUAUCUCACACCAUGCAUUUCAUCUUGCUUCACACUUGCAUUUCAUUUAAGAAUCAAAUAAUAAUAAUUUAAUAAAAUUGGUGAUACAAUAAGCAAAUUAUAACUAAGGAAAUAUAAUGAACUUAAAGAUUAAAGCCCAAUAAGAUAAUCUAAAAAUGGUGUCGUUCAUGGAACGGGCGUCCCGGGGGUGCUAAUCCUUCCCUGGGCGUAACCGUACUCCCAAACCUAGAUCUAGAAAAAUGUAGACCAGUUUAAGAUUCUCUCGGCGGGCUUAAAAUUAAUUUAAGACUUCGUCAAUUAGAAUCGAGUCAAUAGGUAGCCAAUCACACCUAGAAAAAAGAUUGGUGGUGACUCCUAAUGUGUUUUCAUCACGUCUGGCAGUCGGGUUCUCAGACCCGUACGUUACGACAAAUAUUAUUCUUGUGCUAAGCCAAAAGGGUAUUUUAUUCCAUGAGAUAUAUAAUUACUUUGAAACCAGCAAAAGCUAAUUGCCAUGUAAGAACAGAGAAAACACCAAAGUUGCCAUGGCAACCUAAAAUCUAAGAACACAUGCAACUGCGAAAACUUACCCCAUAGGAGAAACUCUUCAGCUCUCUAGCCAACAUAUCUCUAAAUUUUUCCACAACUAAUUCUUCAUCACAAUUUUCAGUAAGACCCAAUUCCACCCCGAAUGCCGAUUGGAACCUCGCAAGGCUUAGCAUCAGCUUCCGCACCUCCCUGGUGAGCGACAAUUAUUAAAUCUCGCAUUUCAAGAAAUCAUAAGUUGUUUCCAAAUCAAAAUAAUAAAAUAUUAUUUUUUUGCUCACAAGGACAUUUUCAUUAUUUUUCUUUGAAAAUACAGAAACCCACCAAAAACAUGGUGUAAAAGCUAAAUAUGUUCAUACAUACUUUAAAUCAGAUAAUUGAAGUAUAAAAUUACUUUUACAGUGACACGUGGGCCCCCAACUGACCAAGAAGGUGUAGGGCUACGAACCCUUACUUUCUAGGAUGUAACUCCGAGAUUAAUUCUCGUCUUAAUCAACUAUCAACAAACUGUCCUGAGUCUGAAAAAUAGAUAGGAAGAGGGGUGAGAUUACAUAAUCCCAGUGAGUAAACAAACACCACCUAAACUAUCUAAAGGCGAGUAAAUGGAGACAAUUAAAAAAAUUCAUUUCAGCAAAUUUUUCACAACACGAAUAUUCAUUUCAACCAAAUAAUCAAUAUGACUCGUGAAUUUCUCAAAACUUGGCUCAUGCCAAAUCCUGUACUCGGGGACACCUGGACCAAGGGUAUCCAACCGAGUCUGCCAAGGCUGUGAAAAAUUUUAUAUAAUCAUAGAACUUGUUUUUAUUUUGAAAAAAAAGCAGUAGUUCCUUGGCGUUGACUGAGUCUCACUUCACGUGGUGGUUAACGUAAAGUACACUUAAAAAGCCCACCUCAGGAGAUACCCUACGCGCCUCUACUAUCGAAGUGAGAAUAUAAAGGAGUUUACCGUGCCCCUUUAAUAGGUUGGUCCACGAAACCCCGCCACUGUAGUAGCUAAUCUUUAAUCCACCAAUUGAUCAAAUCUCAAUGGCAUAGCAUGGCAAUUACAUUACUAAUCAAUUUAUCAAGGCAAAAUAGACAGUUCAUAUUUUUCAACACAAGUAUAAAUUCAAUCAAUCAUGCCAAUUUAUCACAAGCCAUUUAAUUCAAAUCAUAAUUUACAAUAAAUCACAUCAUCUCCAAUUACUCAAAUUUUCAAAUCCAACAUUCUAUUUUCAAAUCAAUUUAUAAGAAAUUUAAUUUAUUUUAUAAUUCCAUUUAUUUUAUAAUUCCAUUUAUUUUAUAAAUUCAUAUUUUUCUCAUAAAACAAAAAAUUCAUCAUUUAAAAUAAUUUUCACAAAUCACAAAAUUGAAUAAAAACUACUCUAGAUAAUUUAGAUGAUAAUAGGUUUACUCACAGUUCUAGGAGUCGAUGUAUUUCUAAUCUCAAUCUUCAAGCACAAUCUUUGUACUUUUAUCAGUGUAAUUUACUCACCACCUAUCCACAAUGUACAAUACAUAACUCACCACAUUAAUGCUUGACCAUUAUAAAAUCAAUUCAAGCUCGGCGUAUAUGCAUGAUAUGAUAUGUAACUUAUCCGACUACCGCUUAAAUGCGGUGCUGACCUAAUUUGACCUAUUACCCUAUUAAAUGACAAUUGUGUCCGAUUUGGCUCCAAAUUGCUCCAUUUCAUUUCUAGUACCUCAAUUCACCAAACAUUAUUCAAAUAACACCAAUUUCAGAAUCAAAACCCUUCCAUUUCUUCAUGGAAAAAUUUGGUCAUUACAGUACACUAACACCGUGAUUUUUCCUACUUAAUUUUCUCACCAUUAUUCAUCAUUUUCUAAGCCAUUUCUCUUGAAAUAAUAACAAUCCAUCGCCCACACACAUCAAGGAAGAUUCGACCAAUGAAGAUUCAUGGGGAAAAUGGAUUCUUUUCUUGUUGUUUUACUUCUAAAUAUGCUAAACUAACUAAAAACACUAACAUAUCUUAAAAUCAAUUCAAUCCAACAUCUUUCUCUCUCCUUACCCAUUUUGACCAGUCAUGAAUUCAUCAUGAAAACAUGUAAUUUAACCAUGAAAAUUAAGGGAAAAUGCAUGGGUAAGAUAAAUCACUAGCAAAAUCAAAGAAAUUUUACCUUUGCUUGAUCAAAUCCUUGAAUUCCAACACUUUCUCUUUGAUUUUUCCCACCUAGGGUUUGUUCUUCCUUGGUUUCUCUUCUCUUCUGGUUUGGC
rnacentral:lncRNA from 1 species